UUUUCAGUAGUAGGAAUAUUUCCCUAUGACUUUUAUAUUGGUCUUAGUUCCUCUUCUUUGAUAUUGGUUAUAGCUUGUUUUUUCCCCCUUUUGUUGAAUAUACUAGUUAGUUUUAUCGAUUACAUAGGUGGUGUUUUAUUGUUAGAAUUAGAUAGCUGAGAAACAUGAACUGAAAAGAGACAAUUUCAACAGGAUGAAACAUUUCGUCAGGUUUAUAUGAUAUGAUGUUAAUUACAAUAUGUAAUGUAAUACAGCAAGAACCUGUGAUAAAUGGUUAGCGGAACAGAGCAGGUUGAGAGCCGAUCUAUAGAGCUGUUUGAAGAAACCUUAACUGCUUCUUUGAUUAAAAUCCCAACAAAUUCCUGCAGAAGCUAGAAGAAAAGGCUUCAUAUUAGAGCUUCCACUCUUUUUUGAAUCCAGAGUCUCAUUUUUUACUCCUUCAGCAAGAACCUUUAAGACUUUUUAAUUGACAAAUGCCUAGCUUUUGCUUCUCGAGUCAAGAAGCUAUUUCAGAAGUGUAGUAAAACAUUUGUGCAGUGGACACAACAACUACAACUGAAGGGCUUGUCAGAAAAUUCUCUUGUCAUUGUUAUUGACUUGGCUUUUAAAAAUUUCUUUGCUUCACAAUUCUUAUUAUUAUGUUACAUUUUAAUCUCUCUCCCUCUCCCUCUCCUCUCUCUCUCUCUCUUCUAAACUACCCAGUUGAUAUAUUCAUGUUUUUGUCUUACUACAGAUGUUUGACGAAGAAGCGGCCGGAAGAGCUUAGUUCUAUUGUGAAUAUUUUUACAGCCAAAAGAUACUCCAUCACAUAUUCGUAUCAAACUGGGUCGGAUGCUUCAUGAUGCCUGAUUCAAUUACCAACUGGACUGGAUGUCGCCUUAAAAAGUAUAAAAAACUUAAAAAUUCUUGGGAGUUGCUUAUGCAGCGAAAUAUCAAUACUGUCAAUUAAUAGGGAAAAUUUUUAAUUGUUCAAAGGCAGGUUCCCGGUAGUUGCAUUAUAAUUUGGGAUCUCACAUUUGUGAUUGUAAUCUCUGUUAUCUUUGCCACUUUGUCCUCUCUUUUUCUUUUUUCUUUUUUACAGGAAAUUCUAUCAGGAAUUUUUCGAUCUGGCUCUGGAAAAAUUUGGUAUUAAUUUUGUUAAUUUGUGUGAUAGUUAUCUUGUUUGGUAUGGGCUGAACAACUGACCUGAUGUGAUUUAUUUUAUUUUUUAUUUUUAUUUUUUUACUUUAAUUUUUACAUCUAUCUUCUUAUAAAGUUCUUAGAGGUUAAGCAUGCUUACAUUUGGACUUCUAUUUUCUUAUUUACUUUGCAAUUUGUUUGUUAACUUUUUAAUUAUCAUUGUUGUUUGAGAACAGAAUUAAAAUACAAUUAUAAUUUCGAAAAUUGUUUCAGAAACUUGAGUUUUGUAAACGAAUUAAUUUUGUUGUUGCUGUGUUGGAAGCCACUGAAGAGUUUUUUUAAAAAAUUAAUAGGCUUAAAAAAAUAUUAUAACUAUAAAAGUAGUUCGGCAAAUAAUUUAUUUAUAAAAUUAGGAUUAUGCGGGAAAUGAAUUAUCGUUUUUAAAAUGCGGUAAAUCAUGCAUUAUAUAUUUUUCGGAGUUCGGAUUUAAAAAAUAUAUAAGUUAUGUGAUCGAUCAAGUCUAAUUUUAUAAAUAAAAUUGUUGAAUAUUUAUUUUUUAUAAUUAAAAAGUUUUGUAGGAUUAGUUAUGCUUACAAAUUACAAUCAAAUUCGUUAACAAAUUACAAUCAAAUUCGUUAACAGUUCCUUAUUAAUUCGAGGGGAAAUUAUUUGCUUUAUUUUUUGCGUGCUCCAGUUUCCACCAUUAUCCUUCAUGCGAUGUUUGUGGUGGCAUUUGUUCCGUGGGGGAUAAUUUCAUAAGUGUUCCUUUCAAAGUCUAAAAUUUUAUUGAUGCCCCUAUAGAGUUUAAAAUUUCAUACGUUUUCCUGACAAUGUUUUAAAAGUCGUCCUAGGCGGCCUGUCAUAUGCGGCCCCUUACUUUUUUUUUCUUUUUUUUUUUUUAGAGAAAUGUAUUUCAUUUAUUUAGUUUAGAAAUAAACUUAGCUGAAAAUAUGAAUCAACUAGAAUUUGAACUUGAAUCUCGGAUACCAACCAUCAAAUUUUUUUACCAUUUGCGUUAGGAAUAGUCGGUAACUGCAUCGUAUACUGCACACUCGGUCCUAUAGGCCCGUUGGUGCGGCCGUCUUUUCUUUCUCUCGAUUUCUCUGCCUCUCUUUUAUCUCAAUUUUUUUUCCCCUGCCGAUUUGUUUUUGUCAAAAAACAUAUGCAAAGACCCCCCGCCAACUAUAUUUUGUCUUGAAAAGACUAAUUUAUCACUCUCUCUCUCUCUCUCUCUCUCUCUCCUAGUAUUGGGCUGUAGUUUUCAGGUUCCAAUAUAAUGUUGACUUUUGAAAUAGGCCCCUCCGAACUUACAUUAUAUUUUAGGUUAAUUAGCCUGUAAUUAUUAUUUACGGGUUGAGGAGGUGUGACAUAAAAUUUGGAUUAGCCUACAGUUCAAGGGGCUUUCAAUUUCUAUACACUUUUAUCAAUUUGUAAAUUGCAAUUAAAGAUGACAUUUGUAUGUUUGAUAAGAUGGCUAAUUAAUUCCAGUUCCAUCUCAAGACCUUUCUCUUCAAUCCUCCGUUGUUCUUCUUCUGCCCCCCAAUUGAGAACAUCAAAGUUGAGAAUCUCAAAAAUGGGAUUCGAAUCGCGCACAACUUGCUAAAAGCCGGACUAGCCAUGGCCGUUAACGGUCGUCACGAAAAGAGCGGUGACGACCCCUUCGAAAUGUUAUCGACGUGGGUAGUUCAUCGUUUUGUGAGUUGUUCGAAAAUACAAAAUGUGUGAGUAUCAUAACCGACAGCAUCUGAAGAGAGGAGUAAAGUCACAGAAACAACAUUUGGAUUGUAUGUCUACAUUCAACAGUCAUGUAAUUUUUGUUCUCUAGUUGAGAUAGUGUCUACAAGACACAAACCGAGAGCUAUUCAAAGAGGAAAACAAAGAACUUAAUAUUUCACUAAAAACUCACCAUUGCAAAUUUAUAACCACAUAGACACAAAGUAAGCAACACGGAAAAUAUUCAAAUAAGCAAAGACUCAACAGCUUCACAUCAAGGUAGAAGCUCCAUCUGAGCUUCCACUUUUGUUGUUAUCACCAAUGUUAUAAACCACAGAAACCGAAAUUGCAAACUUUAGUCGCAUGCAUUUACCAGUAAUCCUGAACUGCUUGUGAAAUGAUAAUACAAGAGUUUGAUUUGAUUUAUGAUAUAUAAACCACCCACAAAUUCAAAUGUACACACACAAUAGACCUUCAUAUAUAACUUGGAUGAUAAUAACUAGGAAGUCUCAAGAACCUCUCGCCGCUUUAAGGGGGGGGGGCAUUAGUCACUUUAGAGUUUAAUACAUUUAGCCAUUCGUCGUCAACAUGACAAAUCCACAUAAAUACAUUUCCAUAUACACAUACAUAUAUUUAUAUAACAUAUAUAAAUAUAUGGUCCUUUUAAAGAUUAUUUACUAUUUCUAUAUAGCGAGUUCAUCAAGAUGGCGAUCCAUGAUUUCUGAAAUGGUUUCCAUGAAUGAAGCUUCGCUGAAUCCCAGAAAAGCAGCUUCGUUUGCUUCUUUCAGAAUCUCUUCGAUUUUGGAUUCUUUCUUGAUGGUCUCUCUGCACAAAAUGCUUCCUAUAUCAUACGGAGUUAGUCCUCUCUCGACGCCCUUCUUAAGAAGCAUGGUGGUUAUGCGGAGAGUGCGAGCACAGUUAUGAGAGAGGUCCCAACCAUAAAAUCUGAGAAGCUCAAUGUCCUCCUCGGCGUUUAGUGAUUUUAUGUAGUCGAUGGUUUCAGAGUUGAAGGGUUGGCGGGACUGCGGCCAGUAGAGCCACUCAAAGGUGCAAUCUUCAAACUGCAUCAGAAACAGAAAUCUCCCAUUAAUACUUGAUUCACACACACACACACACACACAUACAUUACAUCUAUUGCAAAAGUUUUAACACUUCUUAUGUUCAAUAAGAACCCAAAUGUAAAACUCCUAAUCGAAGAUCAAAAUUGUUUAUCAUGAUCUAAACACCGGUGGCAUUUCUCAAUGAACCAUGCUUUUGGAAUCUCAACAAAAUGCAUACAAUCAAAAUCCAAGGCAUGAUAAUUUCUCUUCUUUCAACUAAUGUGGUUAAUCUCAAAUUGCAAUAAAUUCCUAUAAUUAUCUUAAUGAAAAGUCUGAAAAUCUCAGAGCAUGUAAAAACGGGUGAACAAAGUUACACGGAACUAACACUAAAUGCUUUAGCCUUGAAUUAUUAUAACAUAAUUCAUACGCACCUUUUCGCAGAGAUAAGAAAAAAAGAGAAAAAAGAAAAGAAAUCUUUAAUCAACACAACAGCAAACUCACAUUCUCAGGCAGGCAAUAUCCAUGAUCAAUAGGAAUAAGCACCGGCCUUCCUUCCUCUCCUCCCUCGCUGCAAAAUAAUAUAUUCCCAGCAUGCCUAUCUGUAUUCGCCAACCGUAUAUCCAACACGCAGAUCUUGUGCACCUCCUGUACGGGAAACGCCCUCGGCCCCAUAUCCUCACAGCUCCCAUUGUUCUUCACAAACAUCUGCAAAGACCCGAUCUUGAAAUCCUUCUUUGCUUCAUUCGCAUCAAACCCUGGAGGAUGAUUAAAAGCUCUGUGCAAGCAUUUCACCAUAGCUGUAGGAGGAACUCCGGAAAAGCCGAAGUCAAGUCCAGAAAGUGACUUCUUCCCGCCUAUUGGAUGGUCGAGAACGUAUGCCGCGACUUCCCGAAUUGCACCUUCGCCGACCUGCGUCCCUCUCUUCAAUCCCUCUCCGUUUGCCGAGAGCGGCAGCCCUCGCGGGUUGUUCUCAGCCAUCGGUUCCUCGUCGAUCGGCUUAAACACGGCGAUGUACUUGUGGCCCAAUACAUCUUGCAUAAAGUACGCCCCUCCUGUACCUUCCGACGACAAGAUUGGCGGGUUCCCAUUCUCCAAUCCAGCAAGAGUGGCGGUAAUGAGAUUUUUAAUUACUGGAGGCAAUUCGACCUUCGGAUUAACAAUGAACGGCUCGAUCCAAACAUCUCUAAUCGGUGGUUUCCUAGUAACAUGUACAUCUGGUGCUAUAAUCGAGAGCUCAAAUUCCUUAUCCACAGGCUUGCUCCUGACCUUCGCUGAUCUCCUCACCAGCAAGUGUAUUACAGCAUCAUUGUUCUUGCAUAUAUCGUGAAUCAACCGCUGAUCAUCGAGCUCCUCGCCAUCGAAAAUGAGCUUCUGAUCGUCAAAAUUGAGAACCUCUUUGCUUUUCUUUGUGAUUUCUUUCUUCACGUAAGCAACAGUCCGGCCUCGCUCGACAUGGAACUUGAACUUCUUCCCACAGACGGUUUUCACGGUGAUUACUCGGAGAUCGGAGACGCGGAUAACAAGGUGGAGGAGAUUACCGUCAGACACGCCGUAGUCCCGGAUUAAGCAGUCAUUGCGGGCCAGCUCACGGCCGUCGAAGACCAGCUUCUGCUUCUUCACCACAAAGCCCUUGCAGGUCUGAACCCGAAGUUUGACCGAAGCAAUUGAAUCGGAUUCCGAGACCCGCAUCGGAAUCACCGAUAGGCCCGGGAUCGAAAGGUAUAUCAUGAUUGAAUCCAGAGAGCGAUGUGGCGAUCGAGCAUCGUUCGAAUUGAAGGGAAAGAGGAAAAGAUCUUCCCCAACAGGGUUGAGAGUGGCUCCAGCCGACGACAUACUUUUAAUUUCUGAUUAGGAUUGAAGAGAAUUCUUCGAUUCUCUAAUCGCAACGAAAGCCACAAAGAAGGCACGACGAUCUCAAACCCUAAAAUCCAUCGCCGAUUCCGCCCUAAUUCCCCUAACCCAGCCUAAUUUCUGCAAUCCCUUCUAGAAUUCCCCCCCAAAAAAAGAAUCUCAACUUGGAAACGAUCAACAGAUUAAAAUAUCAAAAUCAAGCACCAAAAGCACCUAAAAGCCCUAAAUUUCGAAUCGAACGCAGCAGGAACAAACCCUAGACCGAAAAGGAGCCACCUUUUCGAGGCUGAGGGUUUAAUCCGACAAUGUCGACGGAUCUAACAAUGAUUUAACCAAAAAAUUCGAUUCAAAAGGGAUAAAAAAGGGCACAAAAUGGGGAUUUCCGCGUCGAAGUCGAUCGAGAGAGGGAAUGAAAAAUGGGGGGAUGAGGGUGGGGGAAUGGAUUCUUACCGGAAGGGGAAAGAAUCGAGGAGGAGAGGGCGACGAGGAGGAGCUUAAAUCGUGCGACAAAUAUAGCAAAUUGGGGGCGAUCGAUCGCAGCGGUUUAGGGUUUCGGUUCGGCUCGGUGCGUCCCCAUUUCUUUCUCUCUCUCUCUCUCUCUAAGCUCUCGAAGGCUCGCGCGCAUUUUAAUGCGAGUUUUUCGAAUCAUGACCGUUGGGAUUUAAAUAGAGGAGAGAGAGAGAGAGAGAGAGAGAGAGAGAGAGAGAGAGAGAGAGAGAACGGAACGGAGAAGGGGGAACGGGAACGUAGCCGUAGCCGUUAAAAGCGGUUGGAAUUGGACCCGAACGCAACGGGACGUUAGGGGCAUGGCCUAACGGCGUUAAGUAUGGGAAAUGAAAGGUGAAAAAUGUAUGGAGACCCCCCAACUAUCCGACGUUACGAAAUGGCCUCCCAAAUUUAGUUUUCUUUCUUACUUAGUGACACCCCCUCAACUUUCUAUUAUUGCAAUGGAGUAAUUUUUAUUAAUAAAAUAAAAACUUCAUUAAAUUCAUGUGCGAUAUUUCAUAAUUUUAAAUAAAUUUUAAAAAGAAAAUAAUCAACAACUAAUCGUUGAUAUAGCUAUUUAAUUUUAAAAUUGUAAUUUAACUAAUUAGAAAACCUCAAAUCUAAAAAUUGAAAGUUCAGGAAUGGAGUACGUUAAAACGCACUGAGUGAUGUCUCGAGAAAAAAAAAAUUAUUUUGAGGUGUAUGAUAUAUACCUCAUCUAUCUAAUGGAUGAGAUUUAUUUACUUGACAUAUAAUGUAACUAAUGAGUGAGGUGUAUAUCAUACACUCUAAAAGAGGUGUAUGAGCAGUAUUAAUUUCAAAUUUGUCCAAAAUUAAGGAGGUUGAAUAAAUGCUACUUAUAUAUUUCAAAAGAGAUAUACAUCUUAUAUCCUUUCCUUAACUAAAGUUUCAAAUAAAGUAGAGUAAGGUGACUCUAAAAAAUCGAAACGAAUGGGUCCAAAUCAAAAGUGUAAAAGGUGAGGGACAUUUCAAAUAAAAAUAAGUCACUUAUAUAUUCUAUUUAUAUGGUGCAAAUCCCACACUCACCUAACACUGGAUUGGAAAACUCUUCUUGGAUUUUAGUUUUUGGGCUUAAAAUCUCUCCUUAGAUUUUUAGUUUUCUAGAAAAAAAAAAGAUUUAUAAUACGAGUAAAAAUUAGUCUUUGUAUGGCGAGGAUGUAAACUUUAUAAACAUUGGACGAGAAAUGCGUAAAAUUUACGUUCAUUUUUAUGUGCACAGAUAGUAUUGUUGUGACGAAUAUUGACAAUAGGAAUAACGAUUUGGAUUAAUGUGUCGCAUACCUGUGAUUAUUGGUAAUACGUUCACUCAAUUCAAAUCUGAAGUUGAGCUUCCGUGCUUUUAAAAGUACAAGAGCUCAACAUACUUGUGAUUUUUUUUAACAGUCAUAUAGCUUUAAGAUCCGUGAAAUGCUAGUAAAAGAGAAUUAGUGAGGCAUACCAUUAAUAGUAAUAUACGUAUUUUGAGGCGAUUCGACGGCUAAAAAGUCACAAAGACUAAUGCUUCUGUGCUUUUAAUACCAUACAAGAAUAUAAAUUGUACAAGAUUAGAGGAAAAGUAUAAGGGUUAUUUAAAUAUUAGAGUGUGUAUACUACAACAUAAUUUUAUAAAUUUUUAUAUAUUUCUAUUCACAUCUAUAUAUGCCUUUUUUUUUUGUGAGAGAGAGAGAUAUAUAUAUACCAAAAUUUCAGGUUUGAUAUUAAAUGGGUUGUUAGCGAAUUAGGCAGGUAAUACGGAUUAAUCCAAAUAAGAACAAUUUAACAAGCAAGUUAAAUGGGUGAUCCAAAUUUAUAUAAUCUAAACUUAAACUAGUUAUUUUGGGGUCUGAUCUUGUUAAGAGUAUAUGGAUAAUAUCAAAUUUUAUUUAAAUAUAUGUAUAAAUGUCCAAAUUUACUAUCUAAAUGGUAACGUAAACCUUCCAUACCAGGUUUACCAAUUAUUAGUAAUGAAUAAUAAUAUUUAAAGGCCAAAUUACAUAUAUUUUAAAUGAAGCCACAUAUCAAUCACAAUAUGUUUCAAUUAACACUUACACAAUUUUUCUUAUUUUUCUUGAAAGAAAAAAAUAUAUUAUAAAGAGAAUUCAUAAAAUUGUUGAUUAUAGUAAAUUUUCGCAUUUAUUGUUACAAAAAUAAAUAUCUCAUUUAUAAACUUAUAGCGCAAUAAGAGUUGAGUUUCUGUGAAGUACUUGUGAAUUUUUAGCCAUCGAAUAAUCUUAAAAUUCGUAUAGUAUUAGUAAUGGUGAGGACUGUUAAGUCUUUUUUACACAUGAAUUUUGAAGUGAUUCGACGGUUAAAAAAUUACAAGCACAUGAGUUCCUGCGCUUUUAAAAGCACGUGAGCUCAACUCAAACACAAAAUCUGAGAAAACAUUUGCUAUAUAUGGUGGAAAUGCAAGGUUAAAUCAAGUGAUGGAAUAGAAUCAUUUAGUUACGUGUAGUUUACAUUACGCUUGUUUAGGUGUGUAGUUUGAAAGGAGGGUAAACUUCAAAUACCACCCCUGUAGUUUUGAACUUUCUUACUUUAGUAUUCUAUGGUUUAUAGUGUAUCAAGUUAGUGUCCUCUAGUUUUAUUUUUAUCUUUUUGUCAGUUUUUUUUUUUAAUUUUUCGAUAAAUUAUAUACAAAAAGCUUCAAAUACCUCAUCUAGGUUUAUCGAAUAUUUACUUUAGUACCCUUUGGUUUUAACUUUGUCAUUGAUUCAACGAAAAAAAUUAGUGAAACCGAUAAUAAGAAGAUAAAAAUGAAACCGCAUGGCACUAAAUUAAUACACUUUAAGCCACAGAAUACUGAAGUGAAAAAGUGUGAAACCACAAGGAUAAUAUUUGAAAUUUUUCCUUUAAAAAAUCAAAGCGCUUCUACCCAACAAGUUACAGACAAUUUCAAAUGUCCCCUUCAAAAGAUAAAAAAUAUAGAGGAUACCUUUUUUGAAAUUGUCAAUAUCAUAUUUGCCCUUAUUUAGUUUUUUAAUGAAUUGUUACUGAUUUGGAUAUUUACGAUAGUUUUUCUAAAUUAAAAGGGUAUUUUUUUACACUGACUCUUUUAGAAAGAUAUUUAUGUAAUUCAAUGUUGGAGAAAGAGUAUAUAUAAAACUAACCCAAAAAGUUAAAAAACUUGGGUAAAAAAAAAAGAAGAUUGUAGUUGUGUAAAAAAAUUAAUCAAAUAGAAUUAAGACGAAGCUGCUUCGUCUUGUUGUUGUUGUUGUUGUUGUUGUUGUUGUUAACGAGCUAUUGUCACCGUUGUAAAGAAUCUACCCCAAACAACUUUACUACAUAUUACAAUUUUAAUUGCAUAUGAAUAUAAAUGCAGUGUUUGUUUGAAUUAGUUCAUUUAACAAGCUGUUUGAUUUUAUAUAAUUAAAAGGGUUUUUUUUGCAAAUAGCCCCCUGACAAAUUUUAUUUGCAAAAAUAGCCCGAUCCAAAAAUUAUUUGCAAAAAUGGCCCUGCCCCUGCCACGCCAGCGCUACGUCAGCGCCACGCGGGCAGGACGGGCCCAGGCGUUUAAGUUGAACACGGUGAACCAUUCACCGUGUUCAAUAUAAAAUUUUUGUAUUGGACACGGUGAAUGGUUCGCCGUGUCCAAUACAAAUACCCCAACUAUGACUAAGUUGGAGGUAUUUGUAUUAGACACGGUGAACCAUUCACCGUGUCCAAUUAUUUGUAUUGGACAUGGUGAAUGAUUCACCGUGUCCAAUAUAUUUUGUAUUGGACAUGGUGAAUCAUUCACCGUGUCCAAUACAAAAACUUUGUAUUGAACACGGUGAAUGGUUCACCGUGUUCAACUUAACCAUCUGGUCCAGCCCCGCCCGCGUGGCGCUGACGUGGCGCUUGCGUGGCGGGGCCAGGGCCAUUUUUGCAAAUAAAUUUUUGACAUGGCCAAUUUUAAAAAAAAAAUUUGCAAGGGGGCUAUUUGCAAAAAAAGCCCUAAUUAAAAUGUAGUGUAUUAGGAGAUGUAGAAAGUGUUGUAAUUAUAAAUAAUUUAUUUAGUUACAUGAGUUGAGCUGGAAUGCUGUUAGUAGCAAACUAGCUCGUUGUCAUUGAUUUGUUUUUUAUGAUGGAGCUUUUAAAUCGACAAUCGGCACCGUUGAACAUGAUAUAUACUACUUAAGCAUCUACAAAUCAAAUUUCAUAUUUUUUCGAUAUUGUUCUUUUAUUCAUAAGUGAAUAUAAAAAUAAAUAGCUGAAAGUUAAUAUCCUUUAAAAAAUAGAGAUAGAAAUCUUGUAAAUAAGAUCAAGAGUAUACAUCUUGUUUUAAAUAGUUUAAAAUAUUUUUUAACCAAAAUUUUACGCCGUUAAACAAAAAAAACGUUUCAUACCGAUUAUUAAAAUUAUAAAAUUUGAAACCCUUUGAUAAUUAGGCCAAUAGUGUCAAAAAGAUUUGAGAUUUGGGUUAUAGAUAUUUCAAGUGGUAUAAAUCAUAUUCAACCGUGCUGAUCGUCGAUUUGAAGUCUUCAUCAUGGAAAAUAAAUGAGUGGCAAUAAAGUUCGUUUAUUACUGAGAGCAUUUCAGCUAACUCCUAGUUGUAUGUAGUUGAGAAAUAUAUUGAGAAAAUUUUACUCUUUAUACAUACACGGUGAGAUUACCUCUAAUAUUAAAAAUAUAUAUUUUGUUGUUAAAAAAGUAACUAAGGAGUUAAGUUUAUAUGUUAUUUAUAUUAUUCUUUCCAACAGUACCAGUUGAGCUCCUUCGUAUAGUUCUAACUUUUUAGAAUUUUGAUUUUACUAUCCAACUUUUCAAUUCAUUUGAUUUGAGUGAGCCAGCGACACUUUGCUUGCAAAAUUUAAGCAAAUUACUUAUUUUAACGAACUUCUAGUUGUGAGAAUUAUAUAAAAUAUAUUAAUUAAAUCUGUAAAAAUAAAAGAUGUAUUUAAAUUUUGAAGUUUAAAAUUUCGUUGAUCGACUUAAAUCAAACAAAUUGAAAAGUUAGGUAAUAAAAUUAAAAUUUUAAAAGAUUGGAUAAUUAAAUCCAAACGGUCCAUAGCUCAGGUAAAUUGCAUAUGUUUUUACCUAAUUUUAAAUUUAUUUUUGAGGAUAAUAAUAUUAAAUAAUUUGAAAUGUAUGUGGAGCUAAAAUAGUUUUAAAUCAAACUUUAGGUUACUCGGUGAAAGCUAAACAAUUUUAAAUGUGGAGGGAAGUUCAUGUGUAAUUUAGUUAAUUUGAAAUAUUUAAUUAUUAUAAUUAAUUAACUAUUAACUAAUUAACUAAAUUAAUCUAUUUAUACGGUCGAAAUUUGAAAGAAACAAUCCUCCCUCUUCUCUUCCCCAACUCUUCUAUUAAAACAAAAAAAAAAAAAAANCGGCGGUCUCGGAGGCCGACGCGCUCAUCGCCUUCAAAUCCACCCUCUCCGGCGCCGGCGCCGGCGCCUCCGCCGCCUCUGGAGUGGAGAGUCUCCGAGGUCUUCACCGAACGGGCCGGCAGAGACGAAGCAUCGGAUUGUACGAUACUUAGUCUCCUCCUUUUCUUUUUCUUUUUAAAUUUUUGUUUUCAUCUAAUCUGGUAUUGGUUCGUUCGAUCGAUUAGGGUUUCUUUUAUGGCUUCUUGUUUGCGCGCUUUGAUGUGUUCUUGUGAUGAAAUGUAGUUAACUGAAUAGUUGUUUAGGACUAUUUGUUGCUUACUAAAUUUGGAACUUAGAAUGCAAAAUGAUGCGCAAGUGUCGUCUUAGAAAUUGAAAUUAGCUAACGAGAGUAUAUUUGUUUUAACCUUUUCAUCGUGAUUUUGAUUUGUUUGGAUUGCUAGAGAAGAAGAAAAAAGAAUAAAAAGAAUAAAAAGAAAGUAACUUUCUCCAGCAUAUCUUUCUCUCUCUCUUUCUCUUUCCACUUUUGGAGAGGAAAGAAGUUGACUUUCUCUCUGUUUCUCUUCUUUACCCUUUCUCUUCUUUUCUCUCCGUUUCUCUCCGUGCGAGUAGAGUUGAGUAAAGGUCACUGAUAAAUAUGUUUAAUCUCACUUUUGUUUCCUUAAUUUGGUUUUUGAGGUAUCACUACUUUUAUAUGUUUGUCAUGUUAUGGAAAUAAAGGUGUGACAGCUUUUGUUUUUACGGUAGUCAAUUUGCCUUAUCUUGUGUAAGUAAGUGCUUGUUUAGCGCGGUUUUUAGAGCAGCUUCUAUUCUAGAGAGGCAAAGGUUAUGCGCUUGAUGAUUGAUAGGUCUAGAGCUUCUGGCUUGUGUUGGAAGCAGAAAUGAGCUUUUCUAAUUUAAUCAUUAAAACCAGUUCAUGGUUUCAAUGAAUCUCAUGGUAUAAAUAUUGGUUAAAAAAUAAUCAGUUGAUCCUAUUUUGUGCAAAGGCUUUGACGAGGAUAUCUUUUAAUUCUCCAAUCAUCAGUGUUUUGCGCUACAUACUCCAAGAGUUAGAAAUGCAUUUAAGUGUUGUAGUGUUUGAAGAAAAAGAACAAAAAAGAGCUUAUGUGGAUGAUUACAUUCAAAAAUUUAUAAUGGUCCAACAUGAGAAGCUCUUUCUUAUUGAUAAUUGACACUUUGAUUUUUAGGAGGUUCCUUUUAUUAUUCUUUUUUUUUUUUUUGAAUUAGCUGCCUUUCACUUUCUUUGUGUUGCUCAACCAAAGAAUAACAACUUACUGAACUUUGACUAUUCAUUACUAGUACACCAGGGUCUGUCUUUCGUUGCAUUUGUUAAGUACUUAUUAAGAAGGUAGAUCCAUACUACCUUAUGUUCUCAGGUUCUUGGGAACAUACUGUUCUUAUUUUACGUGUUAUUUACUACCAACCCAUGCGAUGCACGGAUUUUAAUUUUAUCUUUUUGUUAUAUCUUUUAUAUAAUAUAUAUUAAUUUAGACAAAUUAAGUUUUUAUUAGAAAAAUUAUUGAAUCAAAUUAAAACAAUACUAUCAUGAUAUGCUAAUAGAAUGUAAGAAAAUAAUUUAUAAUUAUAAAUUAAUUCAGAGCUAAUUUGACUAAGAAGUAAAGAAAUUAAGCAAAUUAAUUUUCACUGUAAUUGGAAUCGUAAUUUAUUUUUUUUAUGUGGUUCAUAAAUAGAUAUUUUUAUAAUCCUCCAUGGGAAUUAAUUUAAAUAAAAGUAAUAUAAAUUGCAUGAUCAACUAAUUUAAAUUGAAGAAAUUUAAAAGUGAAAAGCAAAUUUAUAAUCCUAUAUAUAUAUAUAUAUAUAUACUGGAACACAGUAAGUAAUACUAUUCUCAAGGUAUAUUGGAACCUUCUAUGAAACUGCGCCACAUGGCAUCUUGUGGUUCACUUGGAACCUUGCUUCCAAAAUACUAUAUAUAUGUAUAUAUGAUAGUGUACAUUUACUUUGCAUGAGCCAUGGGAUGAUGUGCAAUAUUUAUGCAGCCCAGGUGGCAGACCAUCCAUUAUAUUUUGUUUUCUUAUUUGGCUUAUAUUUAGGGCUUUCUAGCUAAGCCGACUCCCUUAUGAACUUUUGCUUAUUGCAGUUGAUGUAAUUUCGGCAAUAGAGUUUGACAGCUCGGGAAGUUAUCUUGCCACUGGAUAUAGAGGAGGGCAGAUAGUUUUGUCAGAAAGGACAGAUAUUAAGAAUGUAUGUUAGACAUAUUUGACAUGUUAAUAUUUAUAAUUGGCAUCUGCCUUCGUAGUCGCUCAGAUUUUCUUUCUUUUCUCUUCUUCUCUUUUCUUUUUUUCGUUUUUGCCCUGUAGCAUGUUAGUAGAAGGGAUCUUGAGCGGGCCGAUUAUUCAGCUAGUAGGCAUGCAAAAUACAGUUACAAAACUCAGUUCCAAAGUCAUAAAUCCGAGGUACUACUUUUUCAGAGCUUAGGUAAAACUAGAAUGAUGCUUUUUUAAUCCAUAUUUAAUUGGACUAGCUUCAUUUCUAUGUGAUCAGUUUGAUUCCCUUAGAAGCUUGGAGAUAUCUGAGAAGAUUAACAAGAUACGAUGGUGUCAACCAGCCAAUAGCGCGUUGUAUCUUCUCUCCACGAAUGACAAAACAAUAAAGUUCUGGAAGGUAGCCUGUAACUUUUUUCUGCACCUUUUUCUUUUUUACUGUAUAGAGGAAAAGUAAAGUUAAAAAAAUCCACUAGGUGAAUCCUGAUCUUUUAUCUCACUUAUUAAUUCGAUGUGCUUUUCAAAUCCAUCAUGUACGUGAGGGGGGUUGGUUAGUAUAUUUCUGGGCUGUUUACUAUUAGAUCGUCCUAAUGCAUAACAAUGACUAGUGCUUUGUUUUUUUUUUUUUUUUUCUAGAAAUGUUCUCCUAUUAAUGCUUAACUAAGGCAGUCGGGUCAAACAAGUAGACCACAAAACUGGGUUAUCUAUUAGUAAAAUUAAGUUGUUUACCUUAUUCACACCCAAAAAAAAAAAGAAAAAAAAAGGAAAAAAAAAAGAAAACUGAGACAUCUCGCUCUACUUCUCAUUCUUCUCAUAGUACUUAAUCAUAGUACUAUUUGUGUUUUCACUUGGUAUCUGUACCUGAUUGAUUUAAGGCUUUCUUUGUAUAAUUGCUGCCUGUUAAGUCUAACGAAUUAAAUGUAUUUUGACAGGUGCAAGAGAAGAAGGUGAAAAUAAUUUCAGAGAUGAAUUCAGAUACUUUAUAUUCGAGUGGAAAUUGUAGUGUUGCUAGCUCUAGUACAGCUAGUCCGCCUGUAUAUCUUCCAAAUGGAGGGCGUUUAGAAAGGCAGUACAAUUAUAUAAGUAAUGACCUUUCAUUCCCGCCUGAAGGGUUUCCAUCGCUUCGUUUUACUACGGUAAUUGUAUUCAGCUCAACCGAUUCCUUUGGCGUGAUAUGGUCAUUGAAUUGGUGCUAUUUUCUUUUGUUCUAAUUGUUUUAGAAACUUCUUACUUUUUUAGUCCUUUUUUCUUCAGUUCUCUAAGCUGUGCCAUAUAACCUUGUUUUUGUUAUUCAGGUAGCAAGCCAACAAAAAAGUCUUAUUGCUCAAUGCAGAAGAGUAUAUGCUAACUCACAUGAUUAUAACAUCCAUUCGAUUUCAAAUAACAGGUUUUGUGCCUCUUUACCCUAUAUUUUACUCGAUAAAUCUCUAAUUACUUUAGGCAUUAACUUUCAUGGUCUAUUUUGUAACAGAUUCUUUAUUUAUCGGGAUCCCUUUAUUUUGUCACUUGAAGAUCUUUUCUCAUUCAGAUUUGUUUGCACUAACAGUUUUGCACAUUAUAUACUCAAGUACCUAAAUAUUAAGGACAUAUUGUAUACUGCCCUUUACCUUUCAAAAGAGAGAGAGGAAAAAAAAAUCAUGUACUAUGUUUUAAUAUUCUUGAUGUUUGUCUCACAUGUAGUAGUAAAAAAGGCUAUGUGAGACUCUACUAUGGCAAGUUAAUUAAAUUUUUCUCAUAAAAAGUUGUCAUAUUGUGGUGACUAAUAAGAUUUCCGAAAUAGAAGAAAAAGAAUAUAUUUACACAGGACGAUUUUCUGUCUAACAGUGUAAAAGCUUAAGCCAUAGCCGGAAAGUUCUCACAUGACAAUUGUAUUAACACUUUCUUCAUGGUCAAAGGAAGAUGCAUUUUCUAUCUGCAGAUUGAACCCGUAAAGAAUCCUUUGUUUAAUUUGAAUAUAUUGUUCUUGUGGAUUAUUGUGAAAAAAUCACUUUCCUUGGAUGAACAUAGAUAUGUCCUGCUUGUGGUAUUGCAAGUUCAUGCUCAUUUUUUUUGUAAAUGCUGUCUCUCUCUCUCUCUCUCUCUCUCUAGAUUCUCAAGAAGUUGUUUAUUUGUAAUCACAUUAUCUUAAUGAUCUUUUAUUCUGCAGUGAUGGUGAGACUUUUAUAUCAGCUGAUGAUUUACGGAUAAAUCUUUGGAACUUGGAAAUGUGCAAUCAGGGUUUUAAUAUUGUUGAUGCAAAGCCUGCCAAUAUGGAGCAUCUUUCUGGUACAUGUUUCUCUUCUGUGUCAGCUCGGGUGAUAAAACUAGUGGCAGUGGGCAAACAAGUGCCUGGCAGUAGUGUGCGCUUUCGCUCCCCUUUUUCUUAAUUCAAAUUCUAUGCGAGGUUGACUGCAGAUUGUUUGUAAUGGUACCUUCUUGGAUUUGCUGGCAAUGGAUAACAAAGACUAGUAGUAAAGUUUUUGUACUUCUUUGUUUUUCUUAAAAGAUGAGUUUGCAAGUUAACCAACAAUAACAAUAAUAGAGAACAGCUGGCAGAGAAUUCCGUCAAAUAGAGUUAGUUUAGAAAGAAACCGAAAUGAGAGUUUUACAAACGAGGCCUUUGUUUCUUUCUUUUUCAGCUAUGUUUAUUCUGAAUCAGUAGCCAAAGUUACACAGCUUAUUGUUUCCUACAAUAUGCAGAGGUGAUAACAUGUGCCGAGUUUCAUCCUACUCAUUGCAAUAUUUUGGCAUACAGCAGCUCAAACGGCUCAAUACGACUUAUUGAUAUGAGGCAAUCAGCUUUAUGUGAUAAGCAUUCCCAACUGUAAGCAAUCUCUCAAUUUUGUAUUGAAUUCCUAUAAGAAUCCAGUUUAGAGAUUUUUGCAUAUAUUCCUCCACAAUCUUUUUCAUAUAUAUAUAUAUAUAUAUAUAUAGAGAGAGAGAGAGAGAGAGAGAGAGAGAGAGAGAGUCCGGUUGGGGUGCUUCCAAUAGUACCAAGCAUUUGGUGCUAUCAACUUUUCUACCAUUAGAUCUACCCCUUUGACUAUUUUUACUCUUUGGAUCAUGCUAUUCCAUCAUCCACCACUAAACCCUAGGGGGACAUUAUCAUCCUAACCACACAACCCUUCAACCUAGGGCUGAAAACUCAUAUAUAUAUAUAUAUGUGUGUGUGUGUGUGUGUGUGUGUGUGUGUAUAUAUAUAUAUAUGGAAUUAUGCUACUAUACUAUCGAUGGUACAAAGCGCUUGGUGCUAUCGAGUUUUUGGCUGUUGGAUUAAAGGAUGUACGGUUAGAAUAAUAGUGGUCCCCUAGGGUUGAGUGGGUGGUUGGUUGAAUAGUAUAAUCUAACGAGUGGAAAUGAUCAAAGGGUAGAUCUAAUGGCAGAAAACUCGAUAAUACCAAGAGCUUGGUACUAUCGAUAGUAUAGUAGCCGGACUAUAUAUAUAUGUGUGUGUGUGUGUGUGUGUGUGUGUGUAUAUAUAUAUAUGGAAUUAUGCUACUAUACUAUCGAUGGUACAAAGCGCUUGGUGCUAUCGAGUUUUUGGCUGUUGGAUUAAAGGAUGUACGGUUAGAAUAAUAGUGGUCCCCUAGGGUUGAGUGGGUGGUUGGUUGAAUAGUAUAAUCUAACGAGUGGAAAUGAUCAAAGGGUAGAUCUAAUGGCAGAAAACUCGAUAAUACCAAGAGCUUGGUACUAUCGAUAGUAUAGUAGCCGGACUCUAUAUAUAUGUGUGUGUGUGUGUGUGUGUGUGUGUGUGUGUGUGUGUAGGAAUUUUUUACAAAAUAACCAUCUAAAAUUUUAUAAUUUGCGAAAUAACCCUAUCAAAUUUGUAUUUGGCAAAUUAACUUUCGAAACGCGGUGAAUUAUUUACCGCAUUCUGAAAGUCUCUAAGUCUUUUAAAGGCAGUGAAUCAUUCACCGUUUUCUUCAUAAUUUUUUGGGAAAGAGAAAAAAAUGAGGUUGUUAAAAUUAUAUGUAGAUUACACGGGAAAUAAAAAAAGUGAGGUUGUUAGGAUUGUGUGUGGAAUAUUAGAAUUUUUGUUUGAUUGUUAGAAUUGUAUUGGAUAGAUUAAUAAAUUUUUUUUGAUUGUUAGGAUUAUAUGAAUAUAUUAUUAGGAUUUUAAAAUUGUUAAGAUUAUAUGUGAUAUUUGAUUAUUACGAUUGUAUGGAUAGAUUAUUAGGAUCUUUUUGAUUGUUAGGAUUGUAUGGAUAGAUUAUUAGAAUUUUCAGGUUGUUAGGAUUAUAUGUGAUUUGUUGAAAUAUUUAUGUGGUUGUUAGGAUUAUAGAAAGAAAUAAUAAACAAGUGAAAUGCGGUGAAUAAUUCACCGCUUUUCUGAGAAAUUAGGAAAGCGGUGAAUCGUUCACCGUCUUUACGAAGGCAGUGAACCAUUCACUGUCUUUAAGAGAUUAGUUUUUUAAAUAUAAUUUUGGUAAGGUUAUUUCGCAAAUAAUAAAAUUUUAAAAGGUUAUUUUUAUAAAAAAGUCCAUAUAUGUAUAUGUGUGUGUGUGUGCGCGCGCGCGCGUGUAGCUACGAAAGCAAAAUUUCAUGUAUACCCUUUAAAAACUUGAUUCUAACAUGAAAACACCUCACUUUAAGCAAUUCUUAUAAUAAAAAAACUAACCUUUUCUUGUCAAUUGCUUGACUUCCCAACUUAAAGGUACAGCUAUUUUGCAAAAGAAGUGCACUUGCAUGGUGAAAUUGACAUUUUUAGGGCAUAUAUGAUAUGCAUACAUAGAUGAUUUAUUGAUUUAUAUGUGUGUUAUAAGCUGCCUUACAUCAUGUUGAGUAUCAACAUGUAUUAUAUUUUUUUCAUAUUGCUUGCUUGCGUGCUGAUUGUUGCAAUAAUCUAUCUUACGUUCCAACAGGUUUGUGGGGCAAAAGUCGCCAGCUUUAUGGUCCCCUUUUACUGGGAUUAUUUCUUCAAUUUCAGACAUUAAGUUUGAAAAGAAUGGAAGGCAUAUCUUAAGUCGUGAUUACAUGACUGUUAAGGUUAAUAAUUCUCAAUUCUUAUAAUAAUUUAUCGUUUAUUCAUUUCAGUUUUAAUAGCUAUAUAUAUAUAUAUAUAUAUAUAUAUAUAUAUAUAUAUAUAUAUAUAUAUAUAUAUGGAGUUGAGCUAGAAUGCUAUCGGUAGCAAACGGGGUCCGUUGCCACCCAUUUGUUUUCGAUGAUGGAGCCUCCAAAUUGACGAUCGACACCGUUGAAUAUGAUCUAUACCACUUGAAAUAUCUAGAAACCAAAUUUCAAUUCUUUUCAACAUCAUUGGCCUAAUGAUCAAAGGGUUUCAAAAUUUGUAAUUUUAAUGAUUGAUAUAAUAUGUUUUCUCUUUUAACAGCGCCAAGAUAUCCAAAUCAAUUGAAUUUUGGUUAGAAAGUUCUUUAAACUAUUUAGAACAAGAUCUAUACUCUUGAUCUUGAUUACAAGACUUCUAUCAUCACUUUUUAAAGGAUAUUCAUUUUUAACCAUUGAUUUUUGUGUCCACUUGAUGGAUAAGAGAAUAAUAUCGAAAAAACAUAAAAUUUGGUUUCUAAAUGCUUCAAGUGGUAUAGAUCAUGUUCAACGGUGCCAAUCGUCAAUUUGGAGGCUCCAUCAUCGAAAACAAAUGGGUGGCAAUAAAGCCCGUUUACUAUCGAUAGCAUUCCAGCUCAACUCUCUCUCUCUCUCUCUCUCUCUCUCUCUCUAUAUAUAUAUAUAUAUAUAUAUAUAUAUAGAACUAGGCUACUAUGCUAUUAAUAGCACCAAGUCAUUGGUGCUAUCAAGUUUUUGGCUAUUAGAUUAAGAGAUGUGCGGUUAGAAUAAUGUGGGUCCCCUAGGGUUGAGUGGGUGGUUGGUUGAAUAGUGUGAUCUAACGGGUGAAAAUGAUCAAAAGAGUAGAUCUAACGGCAGAAAACUUGGUAGCAUCAAGUGCUUCAUACUAUUAAUAGCAUAGUAGCCGGAGGUCUCCGUUAAACUUGAUCUAGCCUAUUUGAAGUAUCUAGAAAAUAAAUUUUACGAUUUUUCGAUAUUAUUUAGCUAGCGAUCGAAAGUGUUCAAAAUCUAUAAUUUUUAAUGGUUGAUGUAUACUAUUUGCAAGUUAAACGGUGUAGAAGUAUUCAAAUCAGAUAAAAUUUUGAUAGAAAAUUUUUUAUACUAUUUACAGUAAGAUCAAUAUCUCUGAUCGAAAAUUUUAGUGCUAUAUCACCACUUUUUUUGAGAUUUUUAUUUUCAGCCGUUGAUUUUGAACCCUUUCGAUCGCUAGCUAAGUGCCUAAGUGAUAUCGAAAAAUCGCAAAAUUUAUUUUCUAAAUACUUCAAAUACGCUAGAUCAAAUUUAACGGAACUGAUCGACGAUUCAGAAGCUCCAUGAUCGAAAACGGCUUAGGAGCACGGAGGCAUCCGUGCUCCUAAUAGCACACAAGAUCUACUCUAUAUAUAUAUAUAUAUAUAAAUUUUGUUCUCAGUCAUGUAAGAAAUGCGCUGAAGAAAGUUUGACUUAUGUGCAUUGGCAUUAGUAACUUUCUGUUUUUGCCUAGAUAAUUGUUUCCUUUUCACUUUUUCCUUUUCUUUUUAACUUUCCUCUUAUAAAUCCAGCUCUGGGACAUAAACAUGGACUCUGGCCCUGUUGCUACUUUCUCUGUCCACGAGUAUUUAAGACCUAUGGUGAGUUGCUUUUGUAAACUGUUGUAUGCCCGUUUCCAUUUCCUACAACAGCCAACUUAUUAGGGUUAAUAACAAAUUUUAAUCCCUCAAAGUUUGAUCCCAAUUUCAACUAUGUGCUCAAGAGUUUAUGUUUCAACAAUUUAGUCCCUGAAGUCUGUUUCCAUGGGUAAUAACUCUUGGAUGUUUGUUAGCAAGGAAAAUUCCACAUCAAUGUCACCUGCUGUUGGGUCCGACCUCAAAUAGCUACCAUGUUGCCGAACUAUUGUUACGAUAGUGAUGUGGUAAUUUUUUUUAAGUUGGCAAACAAUGGUAAUAAGUAGGACUUGAUAGCUAAGCUUCAGGGACUGAAUCCUUAAAUUUGUAAUUACAAGGACAAUUAAGGACAUUGAUCUUAAAGUUCGAGAAAUAAAUUUGUGAUUAUUAUUUUAUAGAUAAAUUGUCUAUAAUAGUUCUGUUUUCCCCCAGCUACCUCAUCUGUAUGCAAGUGAGUGGAUAUUCGACAAAUUUAAUUGUUGUAUAAGUGGAGAUGGACUAAGAAUAGCAACCGGCUCUUACUGGUAUUUGUUUCUAUCUUGUCUGCUCAUGAAUUUAUCCCUCUUACCCUUGUAACGAUGUGUUUACAAUUUUCUGUGUUAUUAGCAAUCAAUUUCGCGUGUUUAGCUGUGCUGGGGAAAACUGCGAGGAGACUACAUUGGAAGCAAGUACAAAUCCAAUGAGGUAUGAUUGAUGAUAGUUUUAAGAAUGUCAAUUACCAAUGAGAAUUGGCAGUGAUAUGAAACAUCAAUCAGUCUAAAAUUUUGUAUUUAUCUGUUUUAACUUAUGAAAGAUUUUGCAUCCGUUUAUAGUUGCCAUGGAUGGAAACCUUUUGCAUACUGUUAAAUCAGCUUCUAUGUUGUGCACAUCACUUGGACUUUGAUUUUAUUACUUCAGGUUUUAUUAAAAAAUGCAGGAAACACCCUACGAGUAUAAUGAUAUAUUCACAUCCCCACUCCCCCUUUAACUUUUUGGCUAAAGCAUUUCAUCACGUCUUAAUUACUCCAGCGCAAAAAAUUGCAGCAAUUUCAAUGCUGCGCUUUACCACUGUAUCAAAUAGGUCCAAAAUGGGAAUGACCUUUGAAACACAUGCAAAACUUUCAUGGAAACAAAUUAUUGGAUAAUGGUGAUUAUAUCCAGUAGCUCUCAUAAAGAUCUCUUUUAUUUAAUUCUUAGAAACAUUAUACAAGUUUCAACUUAGUAUGUUCAGAUAUAGAAUUAAUGUGAUAUGCUGAACCACAACAUUGAAGUUUUGCACGAAUUUGAUGAUCAUCUCAAUUUUUUUAUUCUAUUUGACGUAGUUAUGAUCUGCAAGGCUAAAAUUGAUGUAGUGCUUUAUCCGUUGGGUAAUUGAGACACGGGCUAAAGUUGUGAAGGGUGCUAUUGUAGUUUAACCUUGAAUUUUUAAGAACUGCAAUAUAGCCUGUUGGUCUAUGAGCAAAGUGAUAAAUAUUACCUAGUGGUGACAUUAAGGAGGCAACUCAAGAACUUGUACUAAGGGUAAUAUAGCUAAGUUUCAAUAUUUCAGAUUGAAAAGCAGGAUUUACAACAUUAGAGGGGUUUACUGCUGUCUUACAAUAUUUUUUAUACCGUACCAGCUAAAAUUGAAAAGAUACUAGGCAUUGUAUAACUCAGUGCAAAUGAUGAUAACGCUCCUUAUAUUAUUUCAAGCUUCUAAAAAUUACUAUAUGAAAUAUUAUGGUAAUUGUAUACACUUUCCUAGCCUCUAAAAAAUUAGGGGCAAUUGCCUAUAUACUCCAAAAAAGUUUCCGACUUUUUGAUUUACCCCUCUUAGAAGGCUAAUAUUGAAAAUAUCCUUUUUACGUUCCAACCUAUUUCAAAUAUAUUCAUAGAGUUAAAUUCUGUUAAUGAACGGUUAGCAAUAGCGGUUAUCUAUAUGAAAUUACUAUUUUGCCCUUUCAAAUAUAUUCUUCUAUCAUCACGGACUUUUCUUAUUUGACCUUAAGGGGCAUAAAAAGUAUUUUGAUUUUUGUUCUUUUCAAAUAUACCCUUUUGCCAUCACCAACAUUUCUUAUUUGCCCUUAAGUUAAGGGCAAAGAAGUAUUUUGAUUUUUUUUAAAAAAAUUUUAGUAGAUAUUUAACUCACGUUUAACCCAAGUUAACUUAACGGUGAUAACUGUAGGGGCAUUUUGGAAUAACGGAGGAAUAUAUGAGGGGUAUAUUGGAAAGAAAAAAAGAAAGUAGGGGUAAUGAGAUAUUUUCGAAGUUUUGAGGGGUAUAUAGGCAAUUAUCCCAACAAAUUACUAUAUGAAAUAUUAUGGUAGUUAUAUAAACUUGUUAUUUUUUGGCUUUCAUCAUAUAGGAGUCGAGUCGGAAACCCUCCGGGGCCUUUGAGGUGGUUGAGCGAUUCAACACAUGUUGUCCAACCAGGUUAGUAUCUAGCUGUUAUAAUCUUCCGCAGGGUUUUACACAAGCAUUCAAGUGCCGUAAGCACGGGUAUUAUCCACCGUGCCAUAUAGUGCCGACAAGAUAUCAACAGGACAUGACUUAUGUGUCGAUGGCAUGGCUCAAAAUCUUUUUUUUUUUUUUUUGAAAUUAGCAAGUAGUUACUUGAAUAAAGUUCAAAAAUUAAUAAAGAUAUGUAAUAAGCAAUUAUAAUAUAUUAGUGCUAAAGAAAAUAAGUAUUUCAUGUCAUUAUGUGUCCGCACACGGAUAAUUUGUUCGGCACGCAUCGGCAUAGCAUGGCACGUACUGUGCUGUGCUGUACCAUCAAGUUUUCAGCACGAUUCUGUGUCAUGCCACUUAAAUCCUUGGUUUUACAUAUACAUCCCUUAAAUAUUAUCUAACUAAAUAUGUAUUUUUGUGGAAUUUGAGUUUCAUAUAUAUCUCUCGAAUGCUUAGCUUUUUGCAAAUAUACUUUUAUCUUAAAUUGGGAAGUCAUAGAAUUUGUGUGGUUUAUUAGAAAAGGGUUUUUUUUUUUCAAAGAAGGGAAUUUUUGUUAGUUCAAGGGUAUACUAGCAGAAAUAAAGCUUUUGUAGGGUAUAUAAGGGAAUCCAGAUUUUGCAGGAAUAUAUAGGCAAACGAAUAAUUUUGCAUGGUUAUAUAUAUUGAAAUUUCUAAAUAACAGCUUGUUGAUUGCAUUUUUUUAGUCAAUUAAAAUAAUGAAAAUGUUCUUCUGCAACGAAAUCUUCUUUUCAGGAUUAGAAAGCCCAGGGGCCGACACCAGUGAGAACUCAUAUGAAAAUUCAUAUGAGGACUCGCAUGAUUUUUCUAACAAGUUGCUCCAUUUAGCAUGGCACCCAACGGACAAUAUAAUCGCCUGCGCUGCUGCAUCUAGCUUGUACAUGUUCUCUGCUUAGAGUUGGCCUCGACAGAGAAAAUUAAGGAAAGUUUUUUUUUCCCCAUUUUCUUUUCUUUUUUCUGCUGGGAAAGCAUUUCAAAUUAUUUUUUCAUGCAACCUAGCAGAAAAGAUGCAGGGAGGGAAUGUCUUCAGUGCAGCACUUAUACCACCUAGCAUCUCCUGGGCCAAUGGGAACAUGGCUCGUUGGAUUAUCAAUGUCGAGUGAAAGGUAUUCUUGUGAUUUCUUUCAUUCUUUUGUUCUAUUGGCUUUGUGGAAUCUGUGGCAUAAGUGUUGCACUGAAGACCCUAUCAAAUGAUUGGGGUUUGUGUGUCCAGUAGUUUUUCUGAUAUUAUUAGGUGCUUGGUUCUGCACCUAUAGCAUGAAUUUUUAGGUUUGCGCAAGUUAUUCUUGCAUUGUAAUUAUUCAUCUCUUAUAUUCUUUUCUCUUUAGUAUUAUUCUUUUGCCUUCAAAAUAUGUUUUGUGUCCAAAAUUUACACAUUAAUUUGGUAAAUUUCUUUUGUUCUUUUGUUUACGACUAGUUUCACAACACAGUGCUGGCUUUUCUUUUUUGUUUUUUUUUUUUUGAGACUGGAUGCAGUUGAAAUGUAACUUAUAAAUCCAACACAAAAAUUAUUGUAUAAUAAGUUCAUAUUAUUUUAAUGCACUUGUUUGGUAUAGUUUUAUGGACAGAUUUGGAGUUUCUCAUACAGAAUUUUGGCAUUUCUUAAAUACAAUAUUCGAAGUUUCUGCUGCAGUGAGAAGCUGAUAUAAGCCUACAUUUAGAAGCUCCAGUUUUAAUUCCUUUAUUAUGCCAAAGAUAUGAUGUUUGUUUCGCUUUAAAUAAGGUUCCUGAACUUCUAGUUGGGUUUUACUUAGCUAGUCAAAUUUUCACUAGUGGUCAAGUUUUCACUAGUGCUUCAAUUUAGUCCUCAACAUCCAUUAUUGUUAGAAUAAAAAUUAUAGCAUGCCCUGGCAUAUAUGUGUUAUCUGUGCGUUGUAAAUUCAUUGAUCCUCUAUUUAUCUGGUACUUUUGAUUAAGCCCUCUUAACUUUUUUUAGUAGAAAAAAUGGUGCACUGUAUUAGGUGGUAGAGAUUGCAGGGUGCGUGGAUAUAUGAAUGCGUUAGUUGCAGAUGGAGUGUUUUUUGUUUUUCUUUCUCUUCUUCUUUCUUUUUUUUUUUUUUUCUUUUUUCCUGUAAUGGGUUGUAUUGUUAUCUGCCUUUGUACUUAUAAUUUUGAUGCAAAUGCGUGCAAGUAAAAGAAUAUAUAUAUGUAUAUAUAUAUAUAGUUGGUUUGUUGUAGUUAUAGUUAAAUAUUAUAUAUAGUUGGGUUUAUAGAUAAAGACUCAUAUUCCGCAUUUUGAUUUACAACCAAAAUUGGAACUAAUUGGAAAUACAGCAUUUGAUGAAAGUAAUUCUACACCAGGAUUAAUUUUAGACCCACUCAUCCCUCAGAAAUCAUUUGUAGAAAAAAAAUUAGUAAAAUUUCUCUUGUUAAAGAAUAACCUUACCACUUCGCAUGCAUUACUAAGAUAUGUGAAUAUAGUUUUUAACUGUGAAUUAAAUCAGUUCCAACACUCCUCUUUAGGGCAUGUUUGGUUGCCGUAAAAUAAUUUGGUUAUUUAGAUUAUAAAAAUAAAUAUGUAAGUGAUUUUUGAAAAGUGAAUCAUAAAGUAGAUUAUAACUAAAAUUCACUUUUUGACUUGAAGUUGUUGAAAGUGAAUCGUCUGCUCUACGCAACUUAACGCAACUUAUCGAAAAAUAUUUUUCUAUACUAUCUACAAAAAUGAAAAAUAAAAAAUAAAAAACUUCAUCAUAUCUUAACAAAAAAACCAACAUAUUUUUUUUAAAAAAAGCAAAAAAAUAGACGUACCUUAUUCCGUACCGUCUAAAAAAAAAACUCCCUAUCUUAAAAAAAUUAUUUUAUUUUCUUAUUUUUUUUAAUAUAGAACUAAAAAUAGAAGUCAUGUAUUUUUUUUCUUUUAUUUUUUUUGAAAUCAAAUACUUGGACUUAAAAGUGACUUUUAUAAAAGUUAAUUUUUAAAGAGUGACUUUUUUUUUUUUUUUCACUUCGAUCACUUACGGACAGCCAACCAUGUCUUUAUAUGGAUGUACAUCUUAUAUCUUAGAAUCAAAGAUUUAGAACUAUUUUUUAGUUAAAAAAAUUAAUAAGACUAAGAAAUAAAUUUUAGCUGUAUAAAAUUUAUGAUAUAAAUUCAUACCAUCGCUGUCAAUAACACAAGCCACUCAACUCUAUAUGAGAGUAAUAUUAUUUUUAUUGUAAAAUUUAAUAACAUUAUUAAUAAUUUGAUAUUAUUAAUAGCGUAGUGGGGUAACUGGGGAAACAAUGAAAAAAGUUUUGAGUGUGCAAUUAACACAAAUGUCUAAAUUCGGCGUCUUACGUAAUUCCUAAUUAUUAAUCAAACUCCGCGCCCUAAUCCCUCUCUCUUCCCCCUUUUAUAGCUCUCCUCAGCUCCUCUCUUUCUCGCUCCGCACAUAAACCCUAAUCCCUCCGCUCCCAAAAACCCUAGAAACCCUCAUCUCCGCCCCCGAAUCCCCGCGCGAGAUCACCCGAUAAUGGGGAGGCGAAAGGGCGGGAACAAGAGCCCCGCGUCGCUCUCCCAGAAGAGCAGCUCGAGCAACGGGCCGCCGGAGGAGGAGGAGGCGACGACGACGACGACGAUGAGCAUCGCCGGAGCCGAGGCGGCGGCGACGGAGGCGGAGACGGAGGUGGCGGAGGAGGCCAUGGACGAGAGGACGGGGAGCUCCAACUUGGAGGACUCGUCCGAGUACCCGGCGCUAAUCGGCGGCGACAAGACCAGCGCCGACUACUACUUCGACUCCUACUCCCACUUCGGUAUGUGCUCGUCGUUUAGCUCGGUAGAGCUCUUCGUGUUGUGUGUAAUCUCAUUUCCCCUUCGUUAUAAUUGCUUAUGUUGUGUUUUUAUCGCUCGUCUAGUCAUGGCCAUGCUUAAAGAUUCGAUCUUGGGCACUUUGUGGUGUUGUGCUUGUGCAUCACGCCUUAUUCUUAUAUGAUAUGAUAUGUGAUGCAUAGCCUUUGCAUUGAGUUCUCCUUCAUUAUGAUUUAAGCUCGCAUUCUCCUUCGGUAGAGUUGUUUAUGUUGUGUUUUAUCUCUCGUCUAGAGAUGCCAUGCUUAAAAAAUCAUUCUUGGCCACUUUUGUGGUGUUUUGCUUGUGUACCGGGCCUUAUUCUUAUAUAGGAUGCGUAACCUUUGCAUUGAGUUCUUUGGUUUUGGAUUUUGUUAUGAAUGAGCUAAUUUAGUUGUUUAUCAAGAUGUUAUUGUUUGUUGGUAUGGUGCUAAUGUGUUUUUGUUGGAUAAUUGUGUAUAAGAUGUGGAAAUCUCCUUUAUGUAGUUUGGGUGUGCAUUAGUUUUUUGUUUAUUUUGAAUUGGAAUGGAAGUAACUGUCUGUGACUUUUGCACACCCCUUUUUUGAUCUUCUUGGCGAAGUCUCCUUUUCUUUUUAUAAAUUUGUUGCUAAUGGUCAUGUAAUUUGCCUCUAUCAUCUAGUUCUCAUUAGCAUGUUAAAUUAAUGGUUUUUCAUGUGGUUAUAUUAUUAAGCAAUCUUACAUGCUUGUUUCUUUUUUAUUUGCAGGCAUUCAUGAAGUAAGUUCCUAUCAACUUUCAGGAGAUGUAGCUGGUAGUUAUGGUUGGUAAAUAGUGAACCUCCAUGGAACCUCCAUGGAGUGUUAAACAUGACCAGGAAGUCAAUGUUUCUUAUCUUGUCUCAGCUAAUUGGUGCAAAGCUUGGUGAUGAAACGUGAUCCAGGUUUAUUGGAAUUAGGAUCAGUUAAGCAUUUUUAGGAGAUCAUGAUGGAUUAGCUGUACAGUUAUGAAGAUGCUUUUUCUUGUUUCCUCGUUUCGCCUUUUCUUUUGUCUUCUGUAUUGCUUGUUAAAAGUUUUAGUUCACAUGGAUGUGUAAAUUAACUGGAUUUUCCCAACUGGCUAUGCAUGCUCUUAUUUGCUCAUUGGAUGAUAGUUUGCUCUCUUGGUCCUUUUCUUGUCAAACAUCUCGCGCAUCUGAUAAUAGGAGGUUGUAUAACUCUAUAUGAUCCUUAAAAUUGCAGUCUCUACUUGUGUUCCCAUUGGCCUCUUGUGCAUGCAUGCUUGCUUUUUCUCAUAAGUUAGCUUGCUUGCUUUUCUAUGUUCUUGCAGGAUCUCUCUAUAUAGUCUGAAUUACAGUUUGUGAGAAAAUAAGCUUUUUCUUUCCAAUCUGAAUAUAGGUGUUUGAUGACUUUGCACUGUCAUGUGGUAUUAUUUGCUUCAUAGAUCUGUCAUCUAGGAAGCCAAAUUCAGCAAGCCUUUGAAUUGUCUUUCAUCAAAGUCUCAAACCAGAUCUUUACGAUAACUUCUGAGAAUGUUGUUGAGGGUUUUUUUUUUUUCCAUAAGUUUUUUAAUCAGAAAACUCUGAAUUUAUAUCCCAAAAAUUCUUGCGUAUUGUCUCCACCUUGCAGGAAAUGUUGAAAGAUGUUGUUAGAACAAAGACAUAUCAAAAUGUCAUCUACCAGAAUAGCUUUCUAUUCAAGAACAAGGUGGUCCUUGACGUAGGUGCAGGGACGGGAAUCCUCUCUCUUUUUUGUGCAAAAGCUGGAGCAAAACAUGUUUAUGCGGUAGGUCUCUUUUGUUUUUUUUUCCUUUUGGUUCUGAACUGCAGAGUUUUUUCCAUUCUGUCUCCUAAGUUAUGAUAUGCUCUCUAGAUCUUCAACUCAUAUAUUUUAUAUAAAUAAUUUGUUCAUCUUACUUUGAAGUAGAUCUAAUCAGUGAGCUUAAUACUGAUCUACAGAUAGAGUGCUCUCAAAUGGCUGACAUGGCAAAGGAGAUUGUUCAAGCAAAUGGGUUUUCUAAUGGUGAUUACAUACCCUUUAUCUCUCACAGGAUAAUGUUAAAGUACCGUCGAAUUCUUUUGCAAUAAGUGUUUUGUCUGUUGUGCAGUCAUAACGGUUCUGAAAGGAAAGGUUGAAGAGAUCGACCUUCCGGUCGCGCAUGUAGAUGUGAUCAUCUCCGAGUGGAUGGGCUAUUUCCUGCUGUUUGAGAAUAUGUUGAACACAGUUCUGUAUGCACGCGAUAAAUGGCUUGUAAGUUAUUCUUCAUGAUACAUCUACAUAGGAAUUCCUUGUCUAGUGCUAUACUGCUAUUUGUUGUCUCUCCAUUGUAUUGUUUAGAAGAUUUAACCAGCUAAUAUUUACAUUUAUAAAUAGGAAAGAAUCAGGUGUGCUAUACUGCUAUUUUUUUAUGUCAUGAUUACGCUACAGAGGAUAUACUAGAAGAAAUCAACCAUUAGAGUAAAAUGAGGUAGAUAUGUUCAAAGAGGUCCAUAUCAAGGAUUAAAGUGCCCAUCGGCACAAGCUGUAUCCAUCGUGCCGUAUCGUGCUAGCAAGAUAUCGGCACAGUACGGCCCCUGUGCCAAUGGCACAACUCAAAACCCUUUAUUCUUGAAAUUAGUAGGUAAUUUUCUCAAUAAAGUUCAAAAGAUUUGAUAAAAAUAUAUAAUAAAUAAUUGGUAUAUUUUGUUGCUAAAGAAAAUAAAUAUUUCAUGCUAUUACGUGUCGGCACACAUAUAUUUUGUGUCCGGCACUCAUCGGCACGGUGCCGGCAAGUUACCGGCACGACCCCAUGCCACGGCACUUAAAUCCUUGGUCCAUGUACUUCUCUAGCCGCCCUGCAUGAUAGAGCUCAAUUAUGCUUUGAAGUUUACUUUAAUGAUUGAAACCACCUUUUUACCAUAAAUAGAUAGUGAUGUCUGUGUUUUUGUAUGUAUUUUGAUGACCAUAUAUAACUUAUUUAUAUUUAAAAAUAGAUUGUAAAAUAGAACCGUAAAAGGUUGAUUGAAAAUUGAUUAAUAUCACCUGUUUUCUGGUAUAGUAAAUUAUUAUGCACCAAGUGCACAUUAAGUCGUAAUAUGAGACCAAGGACUACACAUUUUAUGAAGUGAUGUAUACAACAUGCCAAUUUUUAGUUCUCUUUUUUCUAGUUAUAGGAAUCGGAAUUUCGAGCUCUUUUAAUUGUAUUGAUCUGCUCCAGUAUUGACUUGGUGUCUUGUGGGUUCAUAUUGGUCUUGCGUGAGUCCUGAAUGCAAUUUGAGUCCGCUUUGUUUCUGGCUCUGAAGAAAAUAACAUUUCUUUUUCUUUUUCUCUUGUAGGUUAAUGGCGGAGUUGUCUUACCAGACAAAGCUUCCCUAUAUCUAACUGCAAUUGAGGAUGCUGAAUACAAAGAAGACAAAAUUGAGUGUAAGCAUAUUGGUCACUCAUUUUUCCUCUCAUUUCUGGGGACGGUGACAUUAUUUCUCCCGCCUUGCUAUUGCCGAAGAACCUAUUAGAUACUUGUUUAACCUGAGUUGUGUAAUAAUUUCCCUAUUCGGAGUAGUAGUUAAGCAUUUGACAAAUAAAAAAACCUGCAGCUUUUGCUGUGACGUGAAGCUUAAAUGAGAUUCUAAGCUCCAAAAACAGAAGAGCCAAUAUGAAGCUUCUGACAGGUUGUCCACAGUGGAAAGCUGUCGGUGUUUCUACAAACAGCUCUACUUGAGCAGCAGUCCUAUAGUAGCUUUAGCCAGGCCAAACAGGCCCUAAGUUCCUAUGUCGUUGUGCUCCACAUUGUUGUUGACAACAUUAUUCAUCUCUUUGUAGUCUGGAAUAGUGUAUAUGGCUUCGACAUGAGCUGCAUCAGAAAACAAGCCGUGAUGGAACCACUUGUAGAUACUGUAGACCAGAAUCAAAUAGUCACCAACUGUCAACUUCUUAAGGUGAAUCAACUAUCUUCCUUUAUUUUUCCUUCAUUUAUUCCUUUUGUUAUAAUUAAUGCUAGCUUUUUUUGAAAAAUUUAUAGACAAUGGAUAUUUCGAGAAUGGCUCCUGGCGAUGCCUCUUUCACCGCACCAUUUAAGCUUGUGGCUGAGCAAAAUGAUUAUAUCCACGCUCUUGUGGCAUACUUCGAUGUCUCUUUCACCAAAUGCCAUAAGUUGAUGGGGUUCUCAACAGGUUCUUAACAACCCAUUCUUUGUCGAUGGUUAAACCUCUUUUUAUCUUAAAAAGCUCUUAUGACUAGCUGUUGUAUAUUCUAUUUCGAGGACUUCUAUCUUGCAUGAAGGCUUGAAUCAUUAGACAUGCAUAUUGAACACUAACAGUUUGAUCACAAUAUAUAUAGUUACAUAUUCAUGUUUUAUGAUAUGAUAUCGCUCCUUUGCAUUUCUAGCUUAGAUUCAAUGGACUGAUCUUCCGUAGGUCUCAUUUGCUUGUAUUCAUAAUUCGUAUCUUUUUUAUAGGACUAAUUCAUUCACUCUUUGUUUAGUUUUGCAAUUUUGUAUCUUUUUUUUGGGGGGUGGUAUCUGGACUCCUUUAUCUUCUGAAAUUGCCUCUGGCCCUCCGUUAUGAUAAAUGAAUGCUUCAGGGACUUCAGCCAAGGGCAUUUUGAUCCACAAAAUAGAAUACUGAUUUCAAAGUAGUAAAAAUUGAGAAACAAGUGGAUCUCUUUUGAAAUAUAGCCCCCCUAUUAUUCAACUUGUGAUUCUUCAUGGUACUUGAUCUCAUGGGAAUCAAAUUCGAUCCAAAGCUUAUUUAUUACUAUAACCUUGCAUCAAUUGGAAUAUUUUUCUGAAGCAUUGUAUUAGAAUCCUUGCUUGGAAUUUGACGAAAUUGGUUAUUCUUUUUACAACAGGGCCGAGGUCGAAGACUACUCAUUGGAAGCAAACUGUUCUCUACCUUGAGGAUGUUCUACCCAUCUGCAAGGGAGAAGCAUUGAUUGGGAGCAUGACCGUCGAGCCCAACAAGAAGAAUCCUCGCGACGUGGAGAUAAUGCUCAAAUACUCCCUAAAUGGGCAGCAUUGCCAGGUCUCAAGAACUCAGUAUUAUAAAAUGCGGUGACUGAUCAGGUACACUUUCCUGCCUUAAAAAAAGGUAGAUUGCGAUUAUUAUACCGUGCUUUCUUGGUUAAUGCAUUCAUUCCAACUUAACUUUUUGCACUUUGGAUGGUAUUUAUUGUUUGGCCCCAAAAAGGUGCUUCAAUGUUUGAAUCACACUGAUUGUAAUGCUUGUUUCCCCUUCUUCAAUCUAUAUGCUGUAGCUUGUUAUGUUUUAGAAAUAUUUCCAUGAUAGCUUGUGAAAAUACCAUUUUAUCAAUUGAAACUUAAAAUGGGUGAAUAUUCAUAGAAGCAAGCAGAAAUUGGAGCUACAGAGCAUUUGUGAUCUUGGGAAUCUACAUUAUGAUUGAUUGUGGUAUCACAAGAACAUUAAUUCAAGUUUUUUUCUUUUUUACUUUGUAUUUGGUUAAACUAGCUAAAGAUUAUGAUCUGAUACGUUAUCCGAAGAAAAAGCUGAAGAAUUGUUUUACUAUAUUCCUCUCGCGGGAAAUUGAAUAAUCUAGGGUUAGGGCACUCAUUCUCCAUGCAAAGGGAGAUGAACAGUGCAAUUUUUCUCUGGAGUUUUUUUCAUCUAAUUUUGAAAAAAAUAAAGCUUAGUUUAUCACUAUGCACAGUAUGAGAAAUAUUUGGUAAAAUCCCUCUCCUCACCUGUAUGCCCUUUUUUUGGAAAUAAACAGGGAAGGUGGAAAUAUUAAAAUAAUCACAUUAGUGGCGAAUUCUUCCUGGUUAUUAUCCUUCUUUUUUAUUUCAAUAUUCUCAAUAUUUUACUAGGCAUUCUUUAGUAUGUGGCCCAUUCCAAAAAUAAUCACAUUAUUUCAGCUUUCAUCUUUAUAUAAAAACUUAAAAUUAGUCAAAACCUGUGUAUUUUAAACUUAGCUGUGAUCACUUCGGUGCCUGUUUGCUUCAUUAACAUUCUAAAUUAUUCCCGCUACUACGAGGAACCAAAUCAUGGAUUUAGAAUAGGAAAUACUCUUAGAACUGGCUAUAUAGCGAGAGCUGAAAAUUAUUUUUCAGUGUAGUUCUAAUUUGAUUUUUUUUUUUUUAAUUUAUGUUGAUCAGAUUAAAUUAAUCUGAUUGUUUUUUUCCUGUCAAAAAUAAAUCUAUUUAUAUUGCUUUGUCACUAAAAGAGAGGGAAAAAGAAACUUGGGCUUUUUCUGCAUUUAGUCCCCAGGAAAAUUUUUAUUUUAAAAAUAGUCCUGUCAAAUUUUAAUUUACAAAAAUAGUCCUGCCCUGUCACGCAGGCGUCAUGUCAGAGCCACGUAGGCAACGCUGGGGUCAGUAUGUUAAGUUGAAUACGAUGGUUCACCGUGUUUGAGCACGGUGAACAGUUUACCGUGUCCAAUGUGUUAUACACGCGACUUCGACUUGGCUUGGACUUGCAGUAAGUCUAAGCCAGAGGGAGAGAGCCCGUGGGAACCAUUCAUCGUGUCUUAAAUAUGGGGAAUUCACUGUGUCUUAAACACGGUGAAUGAUUCAGCGUGCCUAGACACGGUGAACCAUUCAUCGUAUUCAGUAGUACUACCAGCACUUAGAAAACAAUACAAUAUCACAAUAUAACAAUAAAUUCAAUAUCACAAUAUAACAAUAUAACAAUAAAUUCAAUACAACAAUACAAGUAAUUCAACAUUAACAAUACAACAACAGAAUCCAAUAUCACAAUAUAACAAUAAAUUCAAUACAACAAUACAAGUAAUUCAACAUUAACAAUACAACAACAAAUCCAACAGAAUAUCAAUAAAGUAUCAAUACCAGAUCAUCACAACAGAAUAUCAAAAAUUAAAACAUGUUUUUUAAUAAUAUAGAAAUAUAAUAUCAUGUCCGUGAUCACGAUCAACAUCAUGCUCAUCAACCACGUCGUCUACCACGUCCGUGAUCACGAUCAACAUCAUGCUCAUCAAAAGGCUCUAACACCUUCGACUACCCUCAAUAACCUGCUGAGUGUCCUGCGUCUCAAUCACUCGUCCGAUCUCGUGCUCAAUUAUAGCAGAAGAAGCUGAAGAGGAGGGUUGAUCUGUAUGGAGAGAGUGCAUCUGUCGUCGGCGCUUAUGAUAAACAAUAUCAACUGGCCGAGGUGGAUCGUGGAUCCUCUGAUACUGGUGUUGAUACCGUGUCCAUAACAUAAGGUGGCUCCUCUAUCGGUGAUGAUGCCUCGGUGGACUAUAUACUGGUACAUGUCCCGACGUCGAUGGUCCAUCAUAGUCUGCCGGUCGUGGAUGUACAGUGUGUGGAAGCGUAGAUAAAGUCUCCAAAACUGCUUCCAUCCGAUCGGCAACGUGUGAUAGGGCAUCUAAUACUCCACCUCCUGGAAUAUCUGACAGGACACGUCUAAUCGUAUAAUGUGAUCUCUGCACGAUAUCGACUUGAAAUAAAAGCACUAUCAUAAAAAUUAUACGAAACUUUUUUGUAUAUAUAAAAAUUAAAGAAAAAAAUAUUAUAUAUUAAAAUCAUACCAAUACUCUCUCGACGUAACCACGUGGCUGAUACGCGAGGGGUGGCCUCUGUACUGGCCUAAAUAUCUACCUCCUGGUGAUCCUCCAAUAUCACUGCAUAUAAACAAUAAUAGCUCGUAUAGGAUCUGGAUCUACCUCAUGGUCCAUCUCUGCUAUAUCCACCAAUUUAUCAUCUCAACGCUAAAUAUAUGAAGUAUGGUAUGCCGCACAAUUCUCAUCUACUCUACCUCAUGAAGUGAUGCGAGAUAUGACAAGCACUGCUUCACCGUAUUUAGACAUGAUGAACCAUUCACCGUAUAUAGACACGGUGAAUUGUUCACCGUGUUCAACUUAACACACUAGCCCUAGCCCAGUCCGCGUGGCGCUGACGUGGCGCCUGCGUGGCAGGGCCAGAACCAUUUUUGUAAAUUAAAAUUUGACAGAAUUAUUUUUAAAAUAUAAAUUUUUCAGGGGGCUAAAUGUAAAAAACGCUCGAGAAACUUUGAUUAUGCAUAUGAGACUAAGGAGCUGUGUGGUUCAAGGGCUGUAAAAUUUCAAAAAUAUUAUAUAUAUUAUAUUUAGAAAGGUUUUGACUGAAAGGCGGUUAAAAUUUAGACCAACUAAUAAUUUUCAUAAAAUAUAAAAGGCCUUUUUUAAUAAAAAAUUCACUAAUUUUGGGCUUUUGCAAAGUUGGGUCAUCUUUUUUGAUUUCGCAGAUUCAGUUCGAAUUUUUAGCAAACUGACCAAAAUACCCUUAUUAUUUUUUCUCUUUUUUUUUUUUCUCUCGUUCUUUUUUUCUCUCUCUGAAGAAGGCGGAGAUUGAAACAGCUCGCCUCGUCUCUGCCCCGCACGCCCUUGCCCUCGCCCUUUGCGCCUCCGACCCUACUAAAACCGUGUCGCGACCCUCCUCCACUAGGAUACGACGACGUCGAGCUGCAGGCUUUUCUCCUCCACCGCGCGUCGGAACGCCGCGACGUCGUCGGAGGCGGCGAGCUCACCUCCGACGACGUCGCGGUGGUUGCGAGGCCAGUGCGCGCCCGCAGCCCCAGCGACACGCGCAGCUUCGCCGCCGGAGACGACGAGUAGAGGAGGAUGAGGAGAGUGAUGGUGAGGUGGGGGAGGGGAUGGAGAUGCGGACGGUGGAGAUGCUGCGGCGACGGCAGGAGGGUGACCAGCAUCCGCGGUGAACCCGAUGGGUUCGGGCAUGGGCAUGGGCAUGGGGAUGAGGGCGCAGGUGACGGAGCAAGAAGAAGAGAGAGAAAAAAGAAAAAGAAAAAAAAAGUGUAAAAUUCGCUUAAAGAGUGUAAAAGUCAUUUCAAAAGAAUAUAAUUUUUAAAUCAAAUAGUGCAACUUUUAUUAAAACAGUACAAAUUUUUUUAAAACAGCGUAAUUUUAUUUUAAUAGUGCAAUUUUAUCUUAUUUCUUCUUCUAUAUUUUUUGAUCUUUUUUGUAGAAUUUUUUUUUACUUUUAUUUUUUCUCUUUAUAUAUAUAUAUUUUGUCACCAUCUCUCUCUUGCUCUUUAUUGCAACUACCGUGACGUCGUCGAAGGUCGUCGGAAGUGAGCUUCGACGACGUCGCGGCGGAGGAGAAGAGCCUGCGGCUCGACGUCGCCGUGCCCUAUUGGAGGAGGGUCGAGGCAUGACUUCAGUAGGGUCGGAGGCGAGAAGAGCGAGGCUGUGCGGGGCAGAGGCGAGGCGGGCUGUUUCCGCCUGUGCCUGCGCCUUCGCUGCCUUCUUUGGAGAGAGAAAAAAAGAACGAGAGAAAAAAAAAAAAGAGGAGAGAAAAAAUAACAAGGGUAUUUUUAUGAGUUUGCUAAAAAUUCGAACCGAAUCUGCAAAGUCGAAAAAUGUGACUAAAAAUUCGGACUGAAUCUGCAAAAUCGGAAAAUGUGACCCAACUUUGCAAAAGCCCAAAAUUAGUAAAUUUUUUAUGCAAAAAGGCCAAUAUAAAAAUAUGAAAAUAAAAUCUCUCAAUUUAUAAUAAUCUAAUAUUCUUACUCUUUAAAAAUUUAUAAUGAUUUCACUACUUCAUUAAUAUUUUUUACAAUUACUUAACUUAGGCUAAAUAAUGAUAAUUUUAAUAUUUUUAAUUUAAAAAUAUGAAGAAUUAUCAAGGUAUAUUUAAAUUAAAAUUCCGUCAAAAUCGUGCAUAGAAGAAUUUUGAUUGGAAAUUAUUUUUGUUUAAAGCAUUUGUUGCCGAAAAGAUUUUAUUCUCAAAACGUGGUUUCAAAAUGAUAUUAGCCUUUUUGCAUAAAAUAUUUAUUGAUUGACUUUUGAGAAUUUUACAGUUUCGAUCCAAUUUUUUAAAACAAUGGUCAAAUUUCUCCUCUUUCAAAAUGCAUAAAAAAUAUACGCAUUAAAUACUUUGAAAAAUACAACUCACAAGUAAUUAUUGCAGGUUAUUCUUUUCUUAAGAAAUGAAAUUUUUGUCUAACCUAUAAAUAAUAACUUAAAAAACAAGAAAGAAGAUCACUUAAAUAGUGCAGAAUCUUUUCAAAUUUUACAUUAUUUUUUUAAAAUAAUAUUUAUAUAAAUAGUGUAAUAUUUGCACAUUAAUAAAAAAAAAGAAAAGAAGAUCACUUAAAUCGUGCAGAAGCUUAUCAAAUUUUACAUCAUUUUUUUUAAAUAGUAUAAUAAUAUUUGCAUAAAUAAUGUAAUAUUUGCAUAAUUUAUUUAAUGUUGCAUAAAUUUUACACUAAAUUACAAAUAAUAUAGUAUAUUACAUAAAAUAGUAUAAAUAUAUACAAUAUAUUAUAAAAAUUAUGCAUUACGUGUAUAAAUAGUAUAUAUUUAUACUAUUUGUAUAAAUAUUUACAUCAUUUAUAUAAAUAUUGCACUAUUAGAAGAGAAUAUUAUACCAUUCAAAUGAAUAUAUUACAUUCAUUAUUUAAAAAAUUAAAUUACAUGUAUAUUAAAUAGUGUCAAUUUUUUUAAAAAUGAUAAAAACUAAUUAUGAUUAUAUGUAUCUUAAUAAAAUUUUUAUUUAAGAUAUAAAAAAUAUAAUUAGUAAGAUGAUAUAGUACAAUGUACUCCCACGUUGUGCAAAAUUUUCUUUCAAAUAGUACCGAAGUAUACUAAUUAUAUAUAAUAUACUAUAUUAUUAUAUGUAAUAUUCGUAAUAUACUAACUAUAUUCCAAAUUGUGCAACAUUGUAUAAUUAUAUGUAAUAUACUAAUUAUAGAUAAUAUACUAUAUUAUUCAUAAUUUAAUAUAAAAAUUAUAUAAUAUUAUAUAAAUUGUGCAAUUGCACAAUUCAAAAAAACUAUUGUAUUAUUUAAGAGAUAUUACACUCUUUCAUUUUAUUAAUUAUAUUAUAUUUUUUUCAUUUUAUGUGAAAUAAAAAUUUUCGAAAGGUUCAUACAACUAUGACUUAGCAAUUAGUAUUUUCAAAAAAUUUACCACUUUAUUUAAUAUACAAUAUAAUUUAAUUUAUAAAAAAAGUGCAAUAUAUUUAUCUAAAUAGCGCAAUAUUCUCUCCUAAUAGUACAAUUUUUACAUACGUUAAUAUUACACAUAUAGUGUAAUGCUACAUUGUUUAUACUCACAUUGUAUAAUUUUUAUAAUAUAUUAUAAUAUACAAUAUAUAUAAUAUAUUAUAUUAUUCAUAAUUUAGCGUAAAAAAUAAACAAUAUUAUAUAAAUUACGCAAAUAUUAUACUAUUUAUACAAUCGAUGAUGAGUUGAUGACUAGGAUUACGAACCCACAACAAUGCAGCGUUUCCAUGUUGGUAAUUCAAUCUCACCACAGGCUUCAUCGAUUGCCUAACAAUACCAAGGGCAUGUUUGGUUCACCUCUUUUUAACUCUAGAAUCAAAAUCGAAAUGGACGAAUCAAUUUGUAAGUAUUUGGUAUGUAAGAUUCUUAUUCUGAUUCCGAUUUCCGGGUAAAUGAAAAUCUCCCAAUUAUCCUUUUUUCAAUUUGGCCUUAUAGGACAGAUUGAAAGUUGAAUCCAGAUAGAAUAAAUAUUUAUUUGGAUUAAGUUUAAUUUUUUAAUCUUAUUUUUUUAAUUAAAAUAUAAGUUUAAAUUUAAAAAUUAUAUAUAUAAAUUUUAAUUUUAAUUUGAACUUUGAAUUAAAAAUUAAAAUUUAAUCAAGAAUUUUGAAUCUAAUUUAUAAAUUAAAAUUAAAAUUAAAAUUUAAUUUAAAAUUUAAAAUUUUAUUCAAAUUUUAUUUAAAAUUUAGAUUAAAUGUUAUGGAUUCAAAUUGAAAUUGAAAUUGUAAUAAGUUUGAAUUUAAAUAAAUAAAAAUUUAUUUUUAUAUUUUGAAUUAUCCACUCAAUUUCAAAUUUUAAUAUUUUUAAAAAAUAUAUUUAAAAUUUUUGACAUUAUUUAAAAUUUUGAUGCAAUUUUUUUAAUAUUUAAUUUUUAGUUUCAAUUUAAAUUAUAAAAUUUUAUGUUUUAAGUUGCGAACUUAACUUUAAAUUAUCUUGUCAAUCCAAAUUUGCAUGGAUCUAGCAUAAAUAUUUUAAAAUUUAUUUUAUUUACAGUAUCAUUAUCUUACUUUUUAGUAAUUAUUUUUCCAAAUGGUCAUUUAUAUUUUAAAUAAAGUAUUCAAAAUGGUUCCAAGUAAUUAAAAUGUAUUAUAAAAAUAAAAUUGGUAUUAAUUUGAUUUCGAUUCUGAUAUCCACCUGAACCAAACUCUGAUGCUGAGAAUGAUUUAUUUCGAUUCUGAUUUAGGUGUUGAACCAGACAGAUUAAAACAAUGAGCCAUUCCGAUUACGAUUUUAACUCAUUCUCAUUCCAAUGUUGAUUCCGACUUUGAACCAAACGCACCCUAAAUAUGUAGUAACAAAGCUAUGAAAGAAAAAGAAAGCUAUAUUAUUAGAGUCCAGCUACUAUACUCUUAUGAAUAUAAACUCUUCUGUACUUAUAAAUUUUUGGUCGUUAGAUUUACCAUUUUGAUCAUUUCUACUUAUUAUUAGAUUAUAUUAUUCUACCAACCACCUACUCAACCCUAGGAGACCAGCACAUACCUCCAUUUAACCGUCGAAAACUUAUAAGUAUAAAGAAAUUUAUACUAAUAAGAGUAUAGUAGCCCUAGCCAUAUUAUUAUUAUUGACGAUAAAGAGAGGAGCAAGGAUACACCCAUAAAGAGCAAAGCAGCUUUGUCCAUGAGCUGAAUUGGUGCAAGUAUGUCCGACUUACUUGUUUCGAAGAUGCAGCCAUUCAUCACCAUCUCCUCCAGCAUGAAAUGCAUCUUAUCAAGAUUGAACAUGAUUUUGAGAUAGUUUAGAAAGAAAGAGGAAUCAGGUUAGAUCCGAACAUGAAAAAUAGAAGGGCAAAAGAAGGGCAUUUCGUUUGAUCUUGGACCGAAAGAACGGAGUUGUCGAGAAACUCACCACAUUUCUGUAAUGUCGAUCCAUGGUCUCCACAUAGAUAUGUAUGAACUCCAAAAUCGCUAGCUCAUUCUAAGCUCAUUCUAAGAAUUUCAACAACAACAAAAAAAAAAGAACGAAAAGGAAAGCAACUCUAAUAGCAAUUAUUUGUAAAUAAGCUGCCAUACAAUUUGAUCAUACAAGAAGAGCGAGCUAUAAUACAACACUAAUUAAUUUAACUUUGACAACUAGAGAAGCCGUCAACCAAAUCUUUAUAUAUGUAUGUAUAUAUAUAGAGAGAGAGAAUUGAGCUGGAAUACUAUCGAUGGCAAACGGAUUCCAUUGCGACCGAUUUGUUUUCGAUGAUCGAGCCUCCAAAUCGACGAUCGACACCGUUGAACAUGAUCUAUACUACUUGAAGCAUCUAGAAAUCAAAUUUCAUACUUUUGUAAAGUAUAUGAAAAAAGUGCUUGGUACUAUCGCUAGCAUAGUAGCCGAACUCUCUAUAUAUAUAGAACUAGGCUAUUAUACUAUUAAUAAUACUAAGUCAUUGGUGCUAUUAGGUUUUCGGUCCUUGGAUGAAGAAAUAUGCGAUUAGGAUGAUAGUGAAAAUGGUCAAAGAGGUAGAUCUAACGGCGGAAAACUCGAUAACACUAAGCGCUUGGUACUAUCGACAGUAUAGAAGUUGUACUCUCUCUCUCUCUCUCUCUCUCUCUCUCUCUCUCUCUAUGCAUGUAUGUAUGCGCGCACACACACACGCUACAAAGCAAAUAUGUUUGGUAGAUUUUCCUCACCUCUUGUUUCGUAGGAAGGACAAUUUAGUAAAUUAGAUUAACAGUUUUAUGAAAUUUAUGCCAAACUAUUCAUAUGCCCUAUCAAUAUAUCAAUUUAUAGCUAUAUCUAAAUCUGUCUAUACUGAAUAGAAAGCAAUAUGUUUGAUGAAUUUUCCUAACCUCUUAUUUGGUAAGAAAGGCAAUUUAAUAAAAUUAACUUUAAGUAUUAUAAAAUUUAUUUCAAACACUUCAUAUACCCCCUCUUCAAUAAAUUAAAUUUGCAUAUUAAGUAAGAAAAUAUAAUCUUUAAACUUUUUCAUAGACUCUAAUAAAUAUAAUUAAGAGAAUCCUAAAGUUAAACUUUUUUCAUAUACUUUACAAAUAAAUAUAAUUUAUGUAAAUCAAAAUUUACCUUUGUGACCUUUCAUAUAUUCUAUUGAUAAAUACAAACAUUUUCACAUUAAAUAAACUUAUUUUAAAACUUCUCGCGCACUUUUCAUAUCAAAUUAGGGGUGAUCAACAGUAUGUUUGGUUUGUGAUUUUUUUAAAAACCGAAUUAAAAUGAAUAAUUGAACCGAACUGCCAAAAGAAUUCAGUUAGUUCGGUUCGGCUGAAAUUCUCUAAUUAUUUAAUUAGAGAUUGAGAUUAAUAUAUCUAUUGGAUUUAAAAAUUAAUUUAUUUGGUUUUUUCAGUUUUCAACCUCCAAAAAGCGAACUGAACUAAAUUAUAUUUAAAAUCGAUCAGACCAACUGAAAUGGGUCAUUUUGGUUCAAUAACUUAAUUUAAACCAAAGAGUAUUCACCCUAUAUUAAGUAAUUUCUUUUAUGAAAUAUAAACAUAUGUUACAAAUUAUCUUUGAUUUAACUAGAAUAAAAUGACUGAAAUAAUACAAAAAAGCUAUGAAAAUUAAAUUACGUGAUCCAUAAUUUAUAUUAUGGUUUAUGGAUUAUAAAGCAUGUCACCAGUAUGCCGUAUAAACAAUAGAUUUAUUAACUUUCUUUAUUAAUUAUUCCCGUGCAACAUAUAAUCUUAUAACUAAAUAAACUGAAAUAUACUACAAAAAAAUUAGCACAUAGAAAGACUAGUAAUUUUUAUAAAACAUGAAAAAGACAGCAUUGUGGAGUGUUGUGCAAUAUGAAAGAGAAUAUGCUUGCUCCAAGAUUGUUAACGCAGGUUUGUUUGGUAAGGAAAUAAUUCUUGCACUUUGAGAAGUGCUGUUCUAAACCUAGAUAGGUUGAGAAUGAAGAGAUGCCCAAUCAUAUUCUCUUUCAUUCCCUUGAGCUUUUAUUUGACUUAAAAGUUUUCAACCAGACAACCAUAAGAGCAGAUAGUGAGUAAGACAGUCAAAUCCAAUCACGCAUCUUAGCGAAGGAUGUUAACAUCUAAGUAGCACACUAGUGUAAGCGACUUAAUGAAUCUUGGUCAUGUCAUCCAAAACACUGAGAUGUUCAACUAUAAAAACUCAUGUCAGCCUUCCAUAACUAGCUGCAUUUCUUACAAUUGCAGUCCAACUAAAUCAUCUCACAGAAAAACUUCAUUUUUAUUAGAGACUUUUAAUUAAAUAAAAAAGCAGCAUACACCAAUGUCACUGAUGUCACUGAUGGCACAAAUAGAUCAGGGCAUAGCUAAAGUUAUAAUAUGUUAGAUGCUCAAUGUCCAAAUAAAGUUCUGUCAGCUAUAACCACAAUAAAACUAGUUCACGAAUCUAGGAUAAGAGAAUCAUCUUAAGUUUGUCAAGUUUGUGAGGACCAUGGUUCAUUGUGUUAGAUAAUUAAUAGGAAAAAAUACCAACAAGAAGUGCGCUAAAGAGAAUAGAAUGAUGUACCUCAUCAUCGUCAACCGAGACUACAAAAAAAGCAAAGAAUAGCACCUGUACACUAUUUUAUAGUUCCGAUGCUCGACAAAAGAACACUGCAUUUCAAAACAGAUAUAAAAUUCAAUGAAAAUGAGAGGAAAAAUAAUACAUACAAUACAUCAGUAAAUUGGUGCCAGUGAAUGCAUUGAAAUGCCAAUGCGCAGUUCAUUCAAAAUUAUCAAAACCACCAUUGUGUGGCAUUAUAGACCAUAGCACGUAUUCCAUCACCAUGAGAAGCUAAAAUAAUUAUGACAGGUAGUUUAAUGAUAACAAAUACACAAAUAGCUAUUUGUGAGAUAUGCACCGCAGAUAGUGGAUGUAAUGGGUUGCAUAUCAAACAUUGAAUGAUCAAACACAAAAUGAGAAUGGAUGAGCAAUCGUAAGUAUAAGAACACAAGCAGGCAUAUGGCAAUAAACUACUAGGAUAACAUCAUAAGAAAGUUUGUACAUUCGAUUGAAACACACAACUCAAGUAACCAUCUGUCCUGUUAUUUCCUAGUAACAAGCCAUCAUGCAUGCUCACAGUAAAGAGAGAGAGAGAGAGAGCGAGAGAGAGAGAGAGAGAAUUUGCAGAUAUUUGCACAAUCAUUGCAAAACAAAUUAGCGUUGAUAGUAUAAUUAGAAUCAACAUUUAUAUCCACAAAUUAGCACCAGUCGAAAUGCCUUACGGAAACAUCUAGCAGUUGAUACAUGAAUUGAUAACUUGCAUGCCUACAAAAUUUCAAGAAUUAAUGGCAAACUGGGAUAUUCAAUAGAAUUUUGCAACCAUAUUUGCUAAAAACAGAUAGCGAUAUGAAUUGGAUUUAGAUACAACGACAGAUUCAACCUGCAUUCUCCACAGAUAUGAAUAUGAAUUCUAGUAUUCAUUUUUCAAGCAUCAAUUACAUUUUAUACCCAAAAAUAAAAGGUAAUCAAAAUGUGCAUGAUGUUUUUGUGCUUACUCUUUAUUUUCUAUAAAUAUUUCAUCCACUAGCAAAGCCUAAUUAUGAUUAAAGAACAAGAUUGAAGAGAUGAUGUGCAAUAAAAAUUAAACAAGAAAAGGGUGAGAUUGAGGCAAUCGCUGCUACAAUCCGCAAUCCAAUUACGACCAAUUCGAUCAUAUUCGGCAAUAAAAUUCGCUAAAAGAGAACUCUACCGUAGAACACUCAUCGCAAACCCUAGAAAUGAAGCGGCGCACCAAAAAACACGAUUCGAACACGAAAAACAGUGGGGUAAAAACGGAAAUUCGAGGGUCAUCACGGAUCAAACACGUGAUCGGGAUCAAGAAACCCUAGGAUUGAAGCAACCGCACAAGAUUUUAACACGAAAAUUCGGGGGCGAUCUCGGAUCAAACAAUUGUUGAUCGGGAUCAAGAAAUUUGAGUGGAGGCAGAGAUGCAGAGAUGGAUCAAACGACCUGUUGAUCGGUGCGUGCGAAGCAUUUGCGUUGGAUCUCGCCCUCGAGGGCGUGGCGCUCGUGGAUGGUGAAGUGUUCGUAGUAUUGCGCCAACCGCGUUUGCCCCUGCUUGUUCACAAGCAACACGAAACGAAUCCCAUCGAUAUGCUCUCUCUCACUCUCUCUCGUUGGCGACUGUUUGUUGCUUUAUAUAUGAUAAGAAAAGGUGAAAAUGUAUAAGAACCCCUCAGCUAUACGUAUUUUCAAAAGCGGCUCUCAACUAGUUUCAUAUGUAUCCCUACAAAAUUUAAAAAUUACGAACUUACCGUUAGUUGACUGUUGAAUUGGGAAUUUGAGAUGAAGAUGUGAGUAGUAUUUGUCUGUUACUUAAUAUGGAUACGAGCAAGAAUAAUAAAAUAGUAUGCUAUGUAUCAGAUAAAAUUAUGAGAAACUUCACAAAAUAGUGCGAAUAAUAUAUUUGAUUUAAGGGCAAAUUUCAAAUUGUCUCCCUGUGAUGUGGCUCAUUUUUAUUUUAUCAUUUUGUGGUGCAAAAAAUAUCACUUUGCUCUCUGUAUGAUUUAGCUUAUGUUUACUUUGUCAUCUUGUAGUUUAAAAAAUUUUAUUUUACCCUCUUGCAGUUUAGCAUGUUUUUCACUCGGCCACCCUAUUGUUUUUUUUUUUAAAUUUUCACUUAGUCACAUAUUUCAUGUAGAAUUUUUUGGUAAAAUAAAAAAUAAACAACAUGGGCUACGUAAAAGUUUUUGAACCAAGGAGUAGCAAAUUGAAGAAAAGCUAAACCACAGCAGUGCAAUUUGAAGUUUACACAAUUUUUUUUGGCAUCAAAAGAGAGAGAGAGAGAGAGAGAGAGAGAGAGAGAGAGAGAGAUCCAGUACUUCAAAUUCAUGUGUCUCUUCCUUCUUGGACAUUUCUGCUAAAUUUUCUACAUUAGAUCAUAAAAAAGAGUCCAUCAACUGGUUCUCCAUAUAGUUUUCAUUACAUGCACUCAUAAUAAAACGAUAUCUUAAUCAAAAUGCAUGCAUACCUGCUCAGCCCAAUGAGGUGGUACAUCUAAUUACAUGGCAUAUUUUUGGGUCACAACAAACACACGCUCUUCAUACAAAGGAGCCUAUUUUUGUAGAGUUGCUAAGUUAUAGAAGGGCCCCUUCUUGUUCAUGAGCUGUGCAUAAGUCCCCUGCUCUACCACCCUCCCUUCGCCGACAAACGCGAUCGAGUCGAGACCUUUUAUUGUGUUCAUGCGGUGGGCCACCACGACGGUCGUCCUCCCGACCAUGAUCCGGUCCAAGGCCUCCUGCACGGCGCGCUCCGACUGCACGUCGAGCGCGCUUGUCGCCUCGUCCAGCAGCAGUAUUGUCGGAUUCCUUAUGAUCGCCCUCGCGAUCGCAAUCCUUUGCUUUUGCCCCCCCGACAGCUGUAUUCCACGCUCACCGCAAUCGGUACCGUAACCGUCUUUUAAAGACCUACGCAAAAUUGUCGAGCACAAUUUCUCCGAAUGAACUCCUAGUCUUAUGCGAUUUAAAUUCAAAUUUUGAGUUUGGCAACGUUCUUGUGACGAUAAGAGAAACGUGAAACUUACGAUAUGAAUUCGUGAGCGUUGGCGGCCUUUGCGGCUUCGACGAUCUCGUUCUCGGUGGCUUCGGGCUUGCCGAAGGCGAUGUUGUCGCGAACGCUGCCCGAAAAGAUCACUGGUUCUUGGCUGACAAGCGCGGUGAAGCCGCGAUACCAAAUGAUGUCCAGUUCCCUCACAUCUACGCUGUCUAUGCGAACAACCCCGCGGUCGACGUCGUAGAACCGUUGGAUCAAGCCGACGACGGUCGACUUACCACAACCGCUGCGCCCGACUAGCCCCACGCUCGUGCCGGCCUUAACUUCUAAGUUGAACUCGCGCAAGACGAGACACUGUGGCCGGCUCGGGUACGCGAAAUCGACCUUUUUGAUCUCUAUUCUGCCUUGAAUUCUCCUCUGCAAUGUAGUUUUCUCACUUAGAUGAUCAACCUGCAUAAUGAUCACACGUAGUAGGUAAAAUUACGUAUAUAUUCCUACAAAAGAGUUUAUUUGCUCAACCAUACUCUGAAAUUUCAAAAAGUUCGCAUACGAAAAUUCAAAUUUUACAGGAUAUAUACAAGCUUUUGAAUUUAAACACUCUGAUGAAUAUUUGAAGCGGACGGAUAUAUAUAUAGAGAGAGAGAGGCUUACUUGAGAAGAUCUCGGAGUCAUUGUUUGCCGAUCAAGCACCUCGAAGAUGGCGGCGACCGCGUUCGUCCCCUUCGCGAGAUCCGAGGUCAUGCUGCCGGCUUCGGCAAUCAACUUUCCAGUACUCACCAGAAUGAAGAAAGUCUUGAACACAUCACCUGCUGAAAUCUGACCUGACUGGGCCAACUUCCCCCCAUACCAGAAAUCCAGAGCCCAGGUCAGGAACGACAGGCACGGCGAGAAGCCCGUGGCCACCCCCGCUGCCCACGCCAUCCUCCUCGCGGGUUUCAAUGGCUUCUCCUGGGCUUCCUCGAAAAGCCGAAGCACUUCCGCCGAGCACCCAAAUGACGUGACCAUCCGGUGGUUCCGAACCGCUUCGAUCGCAAUCUGAGUGCUCUUAUGUUGAGCUCGGGCUAGGUCAUGCGACGCGUUCGAUAGGACAAUCUUUUUCAAGUAGUGGAAUACGACUGUAGACGGUUGGACCGCGAUCAUGACUAGGGCGAGCUUCCACGCCACAGCUAAGCCCAUCGUGACCGCAACGGCCACUCCGGACGCCGUUUGGACGAGAAGAGAGAUUCGAUCAGCUACAAGAGUCUUAACAAGGGAGGCCUCAUUGCUUAGCCUGGAGCACAAUGCGGCGCUCGAAUUGGGCUCUUCGUCGAACCAAGCCGGCUCAAAUGUGAGGAUCUUUUCGAGGACCCGGACUCGGAUCCUUCGAGUCAGGUGCUCUCCCAUGUACGCGAAAUUGUAAUGCUGCAGCAGGUUCACGACGAAGGAGAUGACAGAGAGGGAGGAGAAUAUCAAUGCGUAUCGCCGGAUAACCGCGGCCAUCUCAUCGUGGUCCUUGAGGAAGAACGCGGCGAUCAUGCCACCAAUCGUGAAGGCGUAGAUCGGCUGUAAGGAGCCAUACACGACGGCCGCGGUGCCACCGAUAAGAGCUUGUUUCCACUCCCGGGAAUUCAUUGCGAGGAGCCGAGAGAAAGAAGGCGGGGAGUGAGAGAUGGGCUUGUCGGGCCUUCGUUCGUCAGAAAGGGCCGACCCCGGGAAGGAUAUUGGGCUCGAUUUGGUUACGCUGGGCCGUCCCGCGCUGCUCCGUGCCGCCGAAGAAGGCCAGAAAGGCUCGGAAUCUUGAUCGACUGAGCUCGACACUUUCUGCAGCUUGGCUAACCGCGAGUACUGGCUGUUCCUGGCGAGGAGUUCGUCGUGCAUGCCGACCUCAACGAUCGUGCCACUGUCGAUGACAGCGAUCUGAUCGGCGUUCUUUACAGUCGAAAGCUUGUGAGCUACCACCUGAUCGAAAACCAACAAAUUUGAAUGCGAGUGGUCCUCAAUUUUUCGAAGUUUCUGAUUUGUUACUAACUUUUAAACUGUUACAAUUGGAUCCUAACUUGAUCAAAUUGUAUGGAAACUAAGUUUUCGUAAUCGUUAUACCAGCGUUGUUCGGCCCAUGGAUGCUUGAUCUAAAGCAUUUUGAACCAGCUUCUCGGACUCCGAAUCGAGGGCACUCGUGGCCUCGUCGAGGAGGAGGAUCGCCGGGUUCUUGAUGACGGCUCUCGCGAUGGCGAUUCGCUGCUUCUGACCGCCGGAUAGGAGUGCGCCUCCCUCACCUAUCUGCACAACGUAUCGUCACAAGAUGAUGUUAUUCAGAUGUUCGGAGGCGAGUUAAGACCCAGUCUUAAACUCCAGAUCUUCUGUUGUGGCGGAAAGUUGAAAUAUGCUUUGUUGUAAUUUAGAGUAUUUGAUUCUAUUGCAACGAGAAGCUGGUAAAAGUUAGUUAGGUCUAGUUUAAAAUUGUGCUUUUCAAACAUAAUCAUUUACCAAUUUUAGAUCUCUAAGAAAAUUGGAAAGAGUUUUAGAGAUUCAUUUCCCUGAUUGUGUUUAAAUAUUCUAUAUUCCGCAUUUUCCUCCUAACUCCAGAUUUUUUGUUCAAAUUAGAAGUAUAGUCAAGUUUUGUUUUUUGUUUUUUUUUGCAUUUACCGUAUUCACUUUGUCCUAGCAGUGUACAUCCUAACAGCACACAAACAAAAAAAAAAAAAAUACUACAUGUUCAACUUGAAUGUCUAAUAUAAUGCUUGCAUGGUAAGAAAAAAGCCAUAUUUAUAAAUAUAAAUUUACAGGAGUUAUUUAUAAAAAAAGUUAAAGGUAGAUAAAUGCAAAAAGAGUCUUGAAAUUUGAACUUACAACCUGAUGCGGCUGUAUCAUAAAAAUUUAAAACUACUAGAGAGAAUGCUAUUUUAAUAUGCUAUAUUCAAUAUGCCCGCAUUAAUUUCAUAGCAUUGCGUUAAAAAAAAAAAUGCACACAUUUUCAAACCGUACCUAAAUUUUCUUUUAAAAAAGAGAAAAAAGAAAAAAAGAGAAGAACUUGGGGAAAUUUACAGAAAAACCCCUCACCUUUGUAUCGUACCCCUCGGGGAGCUGCGUGAUGAAACCGUGCGCGUUCGCGGCCAUGGCCGCCGCAUACAUCUCCUCUGCGGACGCGCCCACCUUGCCGAGCAGUAUAUUCUCGCGUACGGAUGCUCCGAAGAGCGCGUGGUCUUGGCUCACGAGCCCCAUCCUCGCCCUGAUCCAUCCGAUCCCGAGCCUCCUCAAAUCCACGCCGUCGAUCCUCACCGCGCCCUCGUCCGCGUCGUAGAACCGCUGGACCAGGCCCACCACGGUGGACUUCCCGCUCCCGCUGGGCCCCACCAGGGCCACGGUCCGGCCGGCCGGGACGCGGAGGCUGAACCGGUUCAGGACGGGCGAGCCCGGCCGGGCCGGGUAGGCGAACCGGACCGAGUCGAACUCGAUCUCGCCGCGGAUCCGGCUCGGGACGAGCCCGGUCGGGUCCGACGAGUCGAUUUUUGGGACGCGGUUGAUGCGGUCGAGGAUUCGCGCCGCGGCCACUGACGCCUCCGUAAAGUGUUUCACCUCGGGAAGCGCCAUUCCCAGUGACCUGCAUCAAUAUAUAUAUAUAUAUAUAAAUAUAUUAAAUUUAUUUUUCCAAAAUUGUAAUAAAAAAAUUACUGUAAAGAUUAAUGGCGGGAAUAUCUCCAUUAUCAUUACUGUUAGGGUUUGCUAAUAGGAUUGAAGUGUUGAAGAGUAUUUUGAAUAUUAAGGGAUAAAUUUUUUNCUAAAUUUAUUUUUAAAACCUUUCAUCAUUUGAUAAAUAAUAUUGACAAAAUAUAAAAUAUAAUAUUUAAAUAAGUCUAAUAGCUAGUGUAUAUCACAUGUAAUAUAUCCGAUUGUCAAUUUAAAUAUUUUAUUAUUGAACACGAUUUUUUUUUUUUAGAAAAAGAUAUCAUGUUACCCAUUUCGUUUAUAUUUUUUAAAAAUAAAUUUAGCUGGAAAUAUGAAAUAAUUACACUUCAAACUUUGGUUAUUUGCGCUAGAGACGGCCGACUCUAUAUAUAUUUAAAACACUAUCCUGUAGUUAUACUAUCUAAUUUAUACAAAAUACUAAAAUAUAAAAAAAAUUUUAUAAAUAUCAACUUUUCACUUUUUUUUUCCCAACAAUAAAAAACUUUAAAAUUUUAGAAAUAUUUUUAGGGAUUUUAUAAUAGUAAUAAAGAUGGCAAAAUAAUCAAAUUAUCCUUGUUGUUUUAUAAAAAAAAUAAUUUUUAAUAUAUUUAUAUUAUUUUUUAAGAAUACUUUCGGUAUAAAUUAUGAAAAAUAGACUGAGCAGUAGCUAGUUAAAAUAUCUAUACUCUUAUAUGAAUCCCUAAUAUGAAAUGAUGACGUGACAAGCUCUCAUCUUUUUUAAUUUACGUUUCAUCUCCACUUUUAAAUGCUCAACCUUGCACCUCUCCAUAUUUAAUUAUAUGCAUCAUAUUCCACCAAUUAGUGAGUUUAAUUUGUAACUCCAAUCCACUCCCCUCCACCAUUAAUCCUUCCACCACUUCUUUUUUGCUUGACAUAUUAUUUUCCAUGCAAAAAAGAAGAUUAUCAUCUAAUCUCUCACCUCACACUCAUCUCCUUCUCUCUAUCUCAUUGUGUUAACAAAGAUUAUGAGGAUAAUGAAGAAGAAGAGUAUGUGAAGAACGUUGUCUUCUUCAAGAAGUAUCGUCCUGUAAAGUUCAGCUGUGGCUCAUAUAAGUGCUCGAGCAGGCCGGUCUGCGCCGGAGCCCUCGCUCGCCGUGAACCGUUGCCACCUUGACUGCCUCCUCGCACGGCUCGCGCACGCCCACAACUGGGCCGAGGGGAGCAGCGUCCUAGCCUCCUCUUCGCAGGGACGUUGCGUGGGAGCUCACUUCUCAAGAAUCGCAGAAAUUUCUUGGCAAAUCAAAUUGUUUAAGAAUUAAAAUUUCUGUGGUUGAUGUGAUGGUAAGGCUGUGUCGGUUUAGAUAUCGCAGUUUGGUGAUGCAGAUGAGGUGUUUGUUUAUAGGUUACAAUGAAAAUCCAGAAGUGACUCAGUGCGGGAAGCAACUACCAGCUGAAGAUUAAGAAGAUGUAUAAGGUUUGGAUGAGUAAGAGAAGUGCUCCCAAAAAGUAUUAGAUUUUUAAGAUUGAUGUUUUUUGUUUUAUUUUCAUCUUAUGACCAUUUUUUUGAGUAGACACUGUUGUAGGCAAAAUUUCUUUCGUAGAUUAAAAAAUAUAAUGUGGAGACUGGAACCUGACAGAUAUGUUAAGUUAUUAUUUAUGUAUUUCAUAUGUUUCUAACUAUAAUUUUAUUUUUUUAACAAUUGAAUUUAGUUAUGUAAAUAUAAAUUUUAUUAAAAUUUUAAAAAUUUGCUUUUAUUAUCUACCCGCUGCAUCACGCGGGUCUCUGCACUAGUAAAUUUUUAAAAGUCAAGAAAAAAAAAAGUGAAAAAUCAAAGAAUUUUUGUAUUUUAGCCUAUAAAAAAUGAAGGAGAUCUAGAAUGAUUCCUCCCCUUUUUUGCUUCAAUUUGUUACGGAUCCGAUUUAAAAGAUCUCAUGUUGUUAAAUGGAAACCCUACAAUUUUAUCUACAAUUUGGUUAAUUUUUUAUGUUCGAUCUUAUUUUAGUGAGAAGAUCCGGAUGUUUCCGAUGGGUCUACCAGUAUCCAGCAUCUUGAUGAGUGAGUCGAUCGUAAAUCUAGUCUUAAUUAAUUAAUUUAAUCACAUUUAAGCUCAAUUUCGAUCGAUUUCAGUUGGUGUAAACAUUGCUCGUGCGUUUCUCUUUCCCUCUUUCUCUCCCCCUCUCUCCCCCCUCCGGUCGCCGGCCAUUUCUCGUGGCGUGGCGGCCGCGGGACACGAGCGACGGUGAGGACGACGAUGAGGACGGUGGUGACGGCGGAGGCAAUACUCCCCUAGCCUCCGAUGGUCUUCCCCAUCACGCCGAUCUUCAAAACAUGGGAGGAAAAGAAAAAGAGAUCAGAUAGGAUUUGCUUCCCCCUGAAACCACCCUCUGUGCCAGGACCACGUAUGAGGUAUAAACACCAAUUUCUUUGUGUUGCACCCCGGUCCCGACCUUAUGAUGAGGUUGAAGGGCCUAAUUACACACACUCUCUCACUCUCUCUGCCUAAUUCUGCCUAUAUUGUUGCUACCCUACACGUCGGACCGCCACUCCCCGAGGCAAGGACUUUUGGGCUUGGCUUGUAAUGAAAAAUCCCAUAUGGGCGAGAACCAGUAGUAAACAAUGUCAGGAACUUUAACUAUUUUUUCUCUUUCUUUUCUUUCUUUUUUCUUGACAUUAAUCGACUUCAAAUAACCAACUAUAUGGAAGGUCAGGGCUGUUUGGGCUUGAGAAAUUGAUCUAAAAAAAAUACAACUAAAAUAUUAUACAAUAAUAUGUUUAAAAAAUAAAAAAAUAUAUAUAUAAUUUUAUAUAUAUAUAAAAUUAUAUAUAUAUUUUUUUAUUUUUUAAACAUAUUAUUGUAUAAUAUUUUAGUUGUAUUUUUUUUAGAUCAAUUUCUCAAGCCCAAACAGCCCUGACCUUCCAUAUAGUUGGUUAUUUGAAGUCGAUUAAUGUCAAGAAAANAUCUGAAAUGUAUGAGAUAUCUGAUUGAUUUGUGUUUUUAUGUAUUCUAAUUCCAAUUGAUCUUGUGAUUUUAAAUGCAUAAAUGGUUUGUUAUUGAAUAACAAUUAGUUAAAAUAUUAUUGGUUAUCUUUUAAUGCAUUAUCUGAUUGAUUAAACAUUUAAAUGUUUAAACAAUUUAAAUUUGAAAUAUAUGAGAUAUCUGAUUGAUUUGUGUUUUUAGGUAUUGUAAUUCUAAUUGAUCUUGUGAUUUUAAAUGCAUAAAUGGUUUAUUAUUGAAUGACAAUUAGUUAAAAUAUUAUUGGUUAUCUUUUAAUGCAUUAUCUACCAUUUAAUUUUUAAAAUUAGCAUAAUAUUUAGCAACAUUUGAAUGAGAUAUUGUAUAUUAGAUUAAAAAUUGCAACAUUUAGUAAUGUUGGAAAUGAUUACUUUAUACCAAUAUUAGCAAUAUUUAGAAAUGUUGGAACGGUUAGUUUAUACCAACACCAGCAACAUUUAGUAAUGUUGUAAAUGAUUCAUUUAUACCAACAUAUGAUAAAUAUUACUAAAUCUACUUAUUCAGUAACACUUGUUAUAUGUCUUCUUAUACUUGUUAUUAGCAACAUUUUAUUCAAAUAUUGGUGAAAGAAUCACCAACUCGGGCAUAGGCAACGUUAAUUAUUAAAUGUUGCCAAUAGUUUUAAUAUCAAAUUUAUCUCUUUUAUUAUUAUUGCCCCUAAAACACAAAUUUCUUGUAGUGUCUGGAAUGAUUCAUCUUCCCUUUUUUGCUUCAAUUUGUUACCGAUUAGAUUUAAAAUCCCUUUUUUGCUUCAAUUUGUUACCGAUCUGAUUUAAAAUCCUAGGAUGGCGGCCGCAAGCGUUUGAAAUUUGUAGCCACAAAAAUCUGGCGAGAAGAUCUCUUGUUGUUAAAUGAAAACCCUACAAUUUUAUUUACAAUUUGGUUAAUUUUUUAUGUUUGAUCUUAUUUUAGUGAGAAGAUCCGGACGUUUUCGAUGGGUCUACCAGUAUCUGGCAUUUUGAUGGGUGAGUCAAUCGUAAAUUUAGUUUUAAUUAAUUAAUUUAAUCACAUUUAAGCUCGAUCGAUUUUAGUUGGUGUAAACAUCGCUAGUGCGUUUCUCUCUCCCUCUUUCUCUUCCCCUCUCUCCCCCUCCGGUCGCCGGCUAUUUCUUGUGGCAUGGCGGUGGCAGGGCACGGGCGACGGAGAGUACGACGAUGAGGACGGUGGUGGCGGCGGAGGCAAUACUCCCCCUUCCCCCAGCCUCCGAUGGCCUUCCCAUUACCCGAAUCUUCAAAACAUGGGAGGAAAAGAAGAAGCCAGAUAGGAUUUCCUUCCCCUGAAACCACCCUCUGUGCCAGGAGGUAUAAACGCCAAUUUCUUUGUGUUGCACCCCGGUCCCGACCUUAUAAUGAGGUUGAAGGCACUCUCUCACUCUCUCUGUCUAAUUCUGUCUAUGCUGUCGCUACCCUACACCGUCAAGCACGCACUCCCCGGAGGCAAGGACUUUUUGGCCUUCGCUUGUAAUGAAAAAAUUCAUAUGGGUCGACAAGAACCAGUAGUAAACAAGUGUCAAAAGGUUAAGGCUGUUUUGGACCUUGGAAAUUGAUCUCACAAAAACACACCUAAAAAUAUUAUACAAUAUAAGGUUUUAAAAAAUUAAAAUUAUAUAUACUAUAUAUUACUAGGUAUAUAUAUAUAUAUAUAUAUAUAUAUAUAUAUAUAUAUAGAACUAGGCUACUAUGCUAUUAAUAGCACCAAGUCAUUGGUGCUACCAAAUUUUUAGCCAUUGGAUUAAAAGAUGUGUGGUUAGGAUGAUGUGAGCCCUCUAGGAUUUGAGUAGGUGGUUGGUUGAAUAGUAUGAUCUAACGGGUGAAAAUAAUCAAAAGGGUAGAUCUAACGGCAGAAAACUUGGUAGCACCAAGUGCUUCGUACUAUUAAUAGUAUAGUAUAGUAUAGUAGCCGGGCUCUAUAUAUAUAUAAUGGAAAAGGGGAAGAGAGUCCACGAGUCCACCGUGGACUAGAUCUCUUAUGUUGUCCACGAGGUGAGGAUGACCUCGUGGACCGUGAGUCGCAAUUUUUCGAGAAGUCUCUCUCUCACACCAUUAAUAUCACGAUCACCACUAUAAAUAGAACUCAGCCGCUCCGAUCCCGCUACUUUCCCUCUCUCCUUAAAAUUUCAAAAGCAGGAGAGAUCAUCGAGGAAGAGGAGAUUGUCCGGGAAGAUCGCCGGGGAAGAGAAGAUCAUCCGGGGAGAUCGUCGGGAAAGACGAGAUCGUUGGGGAAGAGGAAGCUCGGGAAGAGGAGAUCGAUCGACGAUGUCCCAUCACCUCCUCGCGACUAAAGGUCCUCUCAACCCAAUAUGGUGAGGCGAAAGAAAAUUAAUAAGUCUAGACGAAAUAUUCAAAAAUUGAAAGGAAAAACUAUACAUACAAUCCACCCAAGACGAAGGCUAUCCCCGCCGCGUAGAUCCGUCCGCCGCUCUCGCCGUGGAACAUGACCAGUCUGCUGCCAUACCAGGCCAGAAACCCCCAGAUGGCGAACGAGAGCCCCGUAAACCCGACGGCCAGCCCCUUCGCAGUCCCUUGCCUGACACCGAGCCCGAUAGCCUUCUCCAAAACGGCCGCGUAGCUACCAACGAUCCUUCGCUCUGCAGUGAACGAAUACACCGUCUUGAUGGCGCCGAGCGCCUGCGCGACGAUCGCGUUGGCCUCUGCGUACUCAUCGCGCAUUUUUCGAGAAAGGAAGAGGAGGUAUCUGCCGUAGAUCAGGCCCGGGAUUACGAGCAGCAGCAGAAGUGGAAAUGCAGCUAAGGAGAGUCUCCAGGAGAAGUAUGUUGAGAAUGCUAGGCCGGAGAUGAACACUGAUGAGUGCACGAGAAAUAUUGGCACCUGCAAAAUACAUACAUAUAAAAUGAAAGGAGAAAUAUAAAUGCAUGGACAUAUAUAUAUGGUUAGUUAAUNNNNNNNNNNNNNNNNNNNNNNNNNNNNNNNNNNNNNNNNNNNNNNNNNNNNNNNNNNNNNNNNNNNNNNNNNNNNNNNNNNNNNNNNNNNNNNNNNNNNNNNNNNNNNNNNNNNNNNNNNNNNNNNNNNNNNNNNNNNNNNNNNNNNNNNNNNNNNNNNNNNNNNNNNNNNNNNNNNNNNNNNNNNNNNNNNNNNNNNNNNNNNNNNNNNNNNNNNNNNNNNNNNNNNNNNNNNNNNNNNNNNNNNNNNNNNNNNNNNNNNNNNNNNNNNNNNNNNNNNNNNNNNNNNNNNNNNNNNNNNNNNNNNNNCUUCUUUUCUUGGCUUUUGCAGCACGCUGUAAUGGCUUCAGAAAGAAGGCACACUGUAACAGCAAACACUGGCGGCUUAGCCCAGUAAUCCAAGGGCUAAUUUGCAUCAAACCUAAUGUGGCGUAAUUAUAGUCCCACUGCUUGAUAACUAAGGACAAGGAGAUGAGAGAAGAACGUUAUGCUCGUUUAGACGCCUCUGAAACUGUGCCAGCCGAGCCUGCAAGUUCACGAUUCCAGCGGCUUUCUGCGAAAGUAUCGCACUCAAUCUUGAGAUGUAGUCAUCUAAUUGGUUGCCAGGUUGAUCUGCUUCGACCAAAAGGUUCAUCUCCUGAAAGUACAAAGGAACAGAGAAAAUUAUGACUUUCUUUGCCGACCAAAAAAGGUCAUGUGAUCCAAGGCAUUAUUACCUCUCUUAUGAUAUCUAGAGUCUCCUCCACUUGCUUUCGGUGAGCAGUCACCAGCUCUUCUUCUUCCUGAAAGUGUAUCAUUGAAGAAAGGUUAUUACAAAAAAAACAAGCUUUUACACACGCACAUAAUAUAUAUAUAUAUAUAUAUAUAUAUAUAUAUAUAUAUAUAUAUAUGGAUCGGGAGCACUAACUAACUAUUUCAAAAAUACGUAUAGUUAGAAGUGACGCACUAAUCACACUUAAGGGCUCAGUCAUAACGCUUUACGGGCCUUCAAUCCGCCUAAAUGUUAUGCCUAUUAUUGGAACUCUCUCUCAACUUAUUGACUCACCUAAUACAAUUUAUUAGUUUUUUGAACUUAUUGUCACAGAUAAGAAAGUUAAACUUAUUUUAGACAAUAAUAAAUAGCCAACAAUAUAGUCCCAAGGCUUUUUUCUCACUUUUUGUUGUCAUGUGAUUUAUUUUUGUUCAUCAUAAAGAACUGUCAUUAAAUAUAAUAAAAAAAAUACUGUAUUUUAUAAAUCACAUGAUAGUAACGUGAUAUAUUAAUUUACAGACCAUAUGAUGGUAAAAUGUAGCAUUUUACCACAUUGUGAUAUCCUUCUUAAUGACAAAAAAACGGAAAAAAAAUUUCAGGUUAGUAAAGUGAAACUUUGUAGAAUGCAGGAUGACAAAAUACAAAUACGCUAAAUUGGAGACCGGGAAAUUGGAUUUUCUGUUGGAAAAAAGGAUAUUAUAAUGUUUUAAUAAAAUAUAUAAUGGUGCAAUUUUAGUGCUAGAUUUGAAUUGGAAAGGCCAGAAAACACUCAGCAUAAAUUCCAUCAAAUUGUAUGGAUUAGCAAAAACCAAGUUGUUGGAAUAUUCUUUAAUUAAAUUAAAGAGUACCUUGUUCUUUCAUAAUCAAAAAGUCGUUUGAGAGAAUAUUAAUUACAAGUAAAUUCAUGUGAUGUACUUAGGAAUCUUGCUGUUAAGAUGAUAAUAGUAACUAGUGUUUUUUAAUUUUAAUUAGAUAAUUCCCCAAUAUAUAGUGUGGACUCUCCAAAACUAGAAAAGAUUCCCACAUGUUUGAAACAUGUGAGGGAAAUAGUCACUUUGCUCUUUUGUUUGAGUUUUUCAUUUUUUUUUCAAAAUCUCAAAUAAUUAGGCCAAUUUGCUAGUUAGGAGUGGAACAUCAAAUCUUUUAUCCAAAAUAUCAAUAUAGUACAAAAUACGCCUAAAAUAUUUAUUAACAGUACCCCACUAAUAUGCAUAAUUUGGCCUGUUAAAUAUUGAAGCUGGAGAUCAAAUCAAUUACGUCACAGAACAAAAGUGAAGAAAUAUAUAUAUAUAUAUAUAUAUAUAUAUAUAUAUAUAUAUAUAUAUAUAUAAACAAAAUCAAUCUUUUACUUUAUUCAUAAAAGUGGUAAUGUAUUCGUCGAUUGAUCUUGCAAAACCUAGAUUUACCAUAUAUUUCAAUAUCUUCUUUUUUUCCCCAAAAGAGAAGGAUUGAAUUAAUCUUAGAUAUCAUAUAUACUGAUUUCAUUAAUAUCAUAAGGUUAUAAUGUGUUCUACUUAUGAUAGCACAGCAAGGAUUCAAAGAAAUGAUCCUAUUUCUUAAUGAUGAUUUAUAGUACCUCAUUCUUUAAUUUCCACAAAAGAGAAAAAAAAAAAAAGAAAGGAAAAAGAAAUUAAAGAUGAUAUAGAAUGAUUGAUUUGUGUUUUAAUUAAUUAGAUGCUAUAUACCCACAUAGUAUCAAGUACUCCAAUUGAAAGGAUUGAUUCCCCCAUGUUUGAAACAUGUGGGGAAGAUGCAUGGACACUUUAUUCCCUUCCUAAAAUUUUAUUUAUCUAAAACAAGUUUAGUACACUUAGUAGUAUCAACAUCAAAUCGCCCUUUUAAUUUGCUACAAAAAAGUGGUAAACAUGAUCAUAAACAUUACAAAAUUUAAGUAGAAUUUAAUUUCUUAUUAUUUGGCGAAAAGACCUGCGAUUGAUAUAGCCUCAAGCAAUUCAGCUUGAGUUCUCUGCUGUGAUUUAACCUCUCAACGAAAUACGCUAUGUUCGGCCGCAUAUCUCAGGCCGAGCUUGUUUCGAUGGGCUCGGGGUUGAUUUUGACUCUGAUGGAAGGAAUUCUAAAGACCUGAGAUCUCGGCCAAAGCCUUCAGUUGAAGUCUACGGCGGAAAUGAGAGGAAAAUGUAGUAUUAAGGCUAGUGCUAUACUGCUACAUUGAAUUGGAAAUUAGAAAACUAAUUUACCCUACUUUCGGCUGAAAUACGAAAAUUACUCGUACUUUCAAAUCGCCCUCAAUAGUUGGAUGUUGGAGACGUAGGUUCUUUCUCUAGUCGUCUGCACAAUGUUAAUUUAUAACCUUCACAAGUCAAGUCUCAGUUCGACUCAUCCGAUAGUCAAAUUCAAGUCCUAUCUGGAAACUUAAUUGAGAUAAUCUCAAUCGAACGUCCGAAAGAACCCGGUACCUUGAUCUUUCACACUUAGAAUUCUAAUAACCUUUGUUGUCCCAUUUUUAUCAUAUUAAGGUUAACACCAAAAUAUUGGACCAACACUAGCUACUAUUUAGAGUUUUAAUACCUUUUAUUUUUAUAUUAGAUUUAUAUUAGAUCUCUAGAUAGAUUCUUUUAGGGUUUUUUUUCACUAGAGAAACACAUUGAUUUCAUUUCUAUCAUAAGCUUAUAAUGUGCUCUAAUCAUGCUGACAAAACAAUACAUGCUAAGAAAUGAACAUUAUUUCUUAAUGAUGAUAAUAAUAAUAUAUGUAGACCCUUGAAGCUUUUAUUCCACAACUUAAAAAAAUUAAAAAAAGAAACAAAGAUCAUAAAUAUUACCUUCUCACUUAGGACCUCUUGGAUGAGAGAAGUAUCCUUUGAUAUACUAUUUAUGAUCUCUGCAGUUGUUGCUUCUUGUGAAUCAAAGAACCCAACUUCCUGUUUAAGGAUUGCUUCAAGAUACAUGUAUCUUAUCCUCAACACCUGCCUCUCACUUGUUCUACUCCAACAAUACCCCUCUACAAUUAAUCAUAGAUAAAACAAACCUCAUUAAAAUCAUAUAUCCAAGACUCAUCUCAAACAAUAUGAUACCCAAAAAAAAAAAAAAAAACUGAAAAGAAAAUCAAGACUACGUGGUAGGAUGUGAUUGCGUUCAUGAAAAUUACCCAUAAAAGCCACCACCAUGACUACUAGUCCUACAUAGACAAAGUAGAGGCAAUACUGCAAACAAAGAAAAGGAAGAAAAGAAGAAUAGAUCAAUCAUAUAUACAUGCAAGAAAAUUUGAGUAGAUCAUAGUGAAUAAUUAAUAAUUAGUAUAAUGUAGAUUAGGGUUUUUCUUGUAGUUCCUAACCUUUUCGAUCUCAUGCAUGAAAUAUAAGUGCUCAUCCUGAUGGGCUUUUCCAUAACCUAAGCUGUUCAUGAGAUUGCUAGCAAAGAGGAGGAGGCAGUUGGUAGAACACCCAUCUCCAACAGCUCCUAUGGUGCCCAAAAACAUCAGAAGAACAUCGACGCGAUCCGCGAACCGAAACACUCCGCGCAAGGAUCCCUCGCAUCGGUUUCCGGUUUCGCGAUCCUCUCCUCUUUUCUUUUCAGCUUCCAUGGCUUAGUAUGAUGAAAACAUGAUAUUGCAGCUUGAGUACAUAAUGGCUAUAUAUAUAUAUAUAUACUGCACCUUUUAUUUUAUCAUGCCCAUAUAGGUAGAUGUGAAAAUACUAGAAAAUUUUGUCCUUUUUUUGCAAAACACCAUCUUCCUACAUGCAUGUUUCCAUUAUGUGGAGUGAGCAUUUUAAUUAAAGAUGAAACCACCACGCGCAUAAGGGUCUGUUUUCAAUAUUACUUUAUAUGGCCAUUACUUUCUUAUGCUCAUAAUUAAGUAAACCAAAAAAAAAAAAAACUAUUAAUAAAGAAAAGGACCACCGACCGUCCCUAGAGUAAGUGGUAAAGAGCUUGAUGGUUGGUACCCGAGAUCUCAAGUUUGAAUCCUAAUUGAUUCACAUUUUCAGCUAAGUUUAUUUCUAAAUAAAAUAAAUAAAGCAGAUAGCAUGCUACCUAUCUCUCAAAAGAAAUAAAGAAAAGGACCAUCGAUCUUUUGUGACAUCGUUUCCCUAAACAUGCUUCAGUAUUACUUUAGUUGCAUGCCUUAGGGUGUUGUGGGCUAGCUUAAUUUGCUUUAUUAAUGGUAAAGAUAUUGGACUCCCCUUUGCACAGGCUUUUUUGGUAAAGCGACAGCUAUAUUACCCUUUACAUUUGCCUUUAUUUCUAAAGACACACAUGAUAUGCUUGAGACGUGUAAACGAUAAUAUAAGAAAAUUCACGAUUAUGAUGAAAUAAAAUCAAGAGAAAUGAUCACCAUUAAACUGAUAAGAAGUGAUCAUUAAUUACCAUCCAUUACGGUUAAUGAAAUGCACAUGAACAUACAUAUAUAGAUACAUUAAUUCUUUACAAAUUAACUUAUAUGAGUAUAUAUGCAUGUUUAAGAUAUCAUUAUAAAAAGGAUCCUGAUUAACUAGUUAGGGAAGUAAAAUAGUUUUUAACCGUCGAAAAAAUAGUGGACAGGUGAGAAAAGAAUAAAUAUAAGAAGAUCAAUAGAAUUAAUUCCUUAUGCAAAUUUUGUGUUUGCAUUAAUCUUAAUUAACUAGGUUGGUGGGUUAUGUGGUUCAUGCAAGGUUUAGGUUGCUUCCCACUUUUUAUUAAUUUUCUGGUUGUGUCACUUGAUUUACAUGUACAAGUCAAUUAUUAAAUUUUAAGCAUUUUAUAAAAAAUUAAUAGCAUUAGGUACGUAAAUUCACUAGUCCAACUCUCUAAUCAAAUGUAUAAAAUCAUUUGAGUACUAAAAUUUAGAAACUUUAAUUAGGUGCAUGAAGUACACUAGUGUACCUCUCUCUCUCUCUCUCUCUCUCUCUCUCUCUCUCUCUCUCUAAACUAGUUACAUGUAUAUAUACUUCGAACACUCAAAUCACAUGUUGAUAUGCUUUAGUACACAUAUACUAAAAUAGUGUACGAGGACUUUUAAUUAUAUGUGUACAUAUUUUAAAUCCCUCGUGUAGAGUGUGUGUGUAUGGGGCAGGUGUAGUUUCGUAAUUUGUGGUACGUCCAUAAAUAAAAUGAUUCUAAUAAUAUAUGUGUCACAUAAAGUAGCUUUAGUAUGAUCUUUAAGUACCUAAUAUAGCCACUCUCAAGCUCUAUAUGUCCAUGUUUGGUAUUAUUCAUUUAACGUGUAGGGACCUGUGCAAUUAAUUGAAUUAAGCCUAACCUAGUUAAGUAGCUUCGGUUAAUCUUGAUAGUGAUGAAGUUUUUUUUUCUUCCUUCUUUAAUAUUUCAUCUUUUAAUAUCCAUGAUAUGAUCAUUUUCAAACUCUUUAGCUCAUGGAUCUUAACCAUUAAAGCUAAAAAAGAUUAUCGGAAAAGUUUCUCCUAUACAUUUUUCUUGUUAAUUAAAAACAAUAGCUCCGCAUUGAAUAGAAAUUAAAUUCUAAUACGUGUUUAGCAGAUACGAGAGAAUCUGCCUAGUAAACUAAAUGCUAAUUGCGCUUAAUAUGUAGAUCAAUUUGGUGCCAUAUAAAAAUUUGAAAUAUAUUUUUUCCCUAAUUUCUCUUAUUUUUCUUUUAAAUAUUUGAGAGGGCAUCUAGUUAUUAUAUAUUAAGUGUUGAUUUGAUGGAUUACUUUGUACGUCAUAGCUAGCACAAGAAGCCAAGUGCUUUUCCUGGUAGUGCUUUAGACCACUAAAACCCACUAAGCUAAUUGCAUAAUUUUAUAUUUAUUUGUUACAUUGUCCUCACUCUACUUUAAACUUAAUUAAAAAAAAAAUUAAUGAUGGAUCCCAACUUAAUUAGUCAAACCACCAUUACAUAGCUCAAACCCCACCAAUUGAAUAAAACAUGUGCUCUUUUAUAAGGAAUAUAUUUAUUCCCAAUAUGCCAUAAGAGAUUCUUUAUUCCAAAUAUUAGGGCAUCAACUUUUUCAAAAAAAAAAAAGAAAAGAAAAGAAAAUGAAGAUAAAUUUUUUUUUAUUUUUCCAAAUCUUAAGACUCUGAGAAUCCUCUGAGAUAUUUUAUUAAUCUAAUUAUUUUGUCCUAGUACAAGUAUAUAUCAAUGGAACAUUAGUGACUUAAUUUUUUUUCUUUUUUUUCUUUUUUGAGUAAUGAUCCCAAGAUUGAAAGUAGAGAAUCCUUUGAAAUAUUUUAUGCAUCUAUAUAUUAUUGUGUGUUAUUACAAGUAUUGAUUGAAUAUUAAUGAUUCUGAGAUUAGUCGCGGUUCAAAGUUCGAUUUUUUUUAUGUUUUUAGUUUUUAUGAAAACUGAACCAAACCGAAUUAAUAGUGUGAACCGAAGUGCUUCUGCUGUUUCACUGUGUUGGGUUAAAAGAAAAUUUGAUUUACACAAAAUUAAAUAAAUUGAAGCUAAGUGUCUAAAUGCUAAUUGGAAUUGAUCUUUUUAACAAACUUCCUGCACUCGCAAUUUUUGUUACUUUAAAAUCUGAAAAUGAGCUUAUGAAUCUCAAAAACAAAGUAUUCUAAUUCUACCAAAUGGAAAUUAUUCGAAAAAAAUAUUUUGAUAAAAAAAAUAAGCUGCUUGUAGUUGUUUACACAGUUCUAAUAAAACAUAAGACUAUGAGAUAAUAUAUCUUAACCCAAAAUAAAGUUAUGAACAUGUCACACACACUUAUUGAGAAAAAAAAAAAAAAAAAGAGAAAAUUUUGAGAGGAUAUUAAAUAUAACACAAUAAUUCUCUUAUCCAAUUAAGAAGGAUAUGAAGCUGUAUAAAAGAGCAAGGCACACUGCUACAACAAGCUGGUGAUAGAGUGAGAUGGUGUUCUCUACACCCAGUGUAGGAGAUGAAGCUCUAUUAGCCGUCGGAUGCGAGUGGAUGAAGGUGACGGAUAUGGACGGCCGUAGAUUUUCUUCAGCGUCGUAGAUGGGCUUUCCACUUGCACUCCUGAAGAGCCCAUUACUCCUAGCCUGCAAAAUAGCACAUUGGAUUGGGCCCAAUAGGCCCAUUAUUAGGGUUUUGUGAAAUGGCAAAUAAAUAAAUAAAUGAAUAAAUAAAUAUGUGGGUAGUGAGUUAGGAGUCACAAUUCCCACUUCUGUUUCUGCUAUUAUCAGUAAACCAUUUGACAAAUAAAAAAAAUAAAAAAAAGUUCAUGUUGUUUUUAGUGAUUGAAGGUUAAAAAUCAAAUAUUUGUACUUUAAAAUUAGAAGCUCUAAUUUAGAGCUUCAGCUUUUGCUAUACAGAGAAGGUAUUGAAAAAAUUUUAAUAUAAAAAAGGCCUAAUGGUUGCUCGCUCUAAUUUUAUCCGUUUGAUUUGUUAUUAUGUAAUUGACUUGUUAACUUGUUAUUGUAAUUCAUAAGAAAUUCUUUUUCUUUUCCAUUUUUCAUUUGAGAAUUAUAGCUUAGUUCUAAUUAUGACAUCAAUAGAGAUGCAAAUGGAUCCGGACCGGUGGAAAUCCCGCCCUAAUCCACUAAGAAAUGGAGUGGGAUGCAGGGACCUUCUCUUUUUCUUUUUCUUUUUUUUUGAUCUAUAUUCCGAUCGGCCAAAAAUCCGUUCCGCCCCACCUGCCUGAAAUGGAGCGAGAAGUGGGGGCACAAUAGGAUAAAAUCCAACCCUACCCACCUCCGAAUUCGUCCCUUUUGCCGCCCUAGAUAUCACAAAUUUCGUAUGUGAUUGGUUUAUGACGCACCAAUAAUAAUUUGAGCAGAUUCUUUUGCCUCUGAAAUAGUAUGGCGCUUUUGUUUUGUAGUGGUACUUAGUCUUAGACAAUACUUUAUCGAACAGUAUUUAUAUUCUCCAAUAUUAGAGGCCAAAGAGGCCCAAAUUAACUCCUACCAUAUUUCAUGUAUGAUGAUUUGAAUCACCUGGAUCUGGUCACCGAUAGUGACAACAAUGGCCUUGUCACUGGGGCAAAAGUUGACCCAACCUCUCUUGGUGUACAUGCAAAAGCCAGAAGCUCCUUGGCACACAUGCAGACACAAAGCAUGGGAGUUGAUUAAGCUCUUUAUCACCAAUUUGAGGGCUUCAUGCUUCAGCUGCUUCCUGCUGUUGCUGCUGCUGCUACUGCUGCCGCCAUUUUUGUACUUGUUAUGCUUAUGGAGCUGAAGAACCAAUUCACCUGCACAUUUCUCUCCUGAAGCUACUUCUAAUGUUUCUUCAAUUUUGAUGGCUAUCUUCUUCAUGAGUUCACAUAGAUCAUCCAUUUGGUCACUGCAAGGAGAGAGAGAGAGAGAGAGAGAGNCUUUUGAGAAUUAUAGCUUAGUCCUAAUUAUGACAUCACUAGAGAUGCAAAUGGAUCCGGACCGGUGGAAAUCCCGCCCUAAUCCACUAAGAAAUGGAGUGGGAUGCAGGGACCUUCUCUCUUUCUUUUUCUUUUUUUUGAUCUAUAUUCCGAUCGGCCAAAAAUCCGUUCCGCCCCACCUGCCCGAAAUGGAGCGAGAAGUGGGGACACAAUAGGAUAAAAUCCAACCCUUCCCACCUCCGAAUUCGUCCCUUUUGCCACCCUAGAUAUCACCAAUUUCGUAUGUGAUUGGUUUAUGACGCGCCAAUAAUAAUUUGAACAGAUUCUUUUGCCUCUGAAAUAGUAUGGCGCUUUUGUUUUUUAGUGGUACUUAGAUAGUACUUUAUCGAACAGUAUUUAUAUUCUACAAUAUUAAAGGCCAAAGAGGCCCAAAUUAACUCCUACCAUAUUUCAUGCAUGUAUGAUGAUUUGUAUCACCUGGAUCUGGUCACCAAUAGUAACAACAAUGGCCUUGUCACUGGGGCAAAAGUUGACCCAACCUCUCUUGGUGUACAUGCAAAAGCCAGAAGCUCCUUGACAUACAUGCAGACACAUAGCAUGGGAGUUGAUUAAGCUCUUUAUCACCAAUUUGAGGGCUUCAUGCUUCAGCUGCUUCCUGCUGUUGCUGCUGCUGCUGCCAUUUUUGUACUUGUUAUGCUUAUGGAGAUGAAGAACCAAUUCACCUGCACAUUUCUCUCCUGAAACCACUUCUAAUGUUUCUUCAAUUUUGAUGGCUAUCUUAUUCAUCAGUUCACAUAGAUCAUCCAUUUGGUCACUGCAAAGAGAGAGAGAGAGAGAGAGAGAGAGAGAGAGAGAGGGGUUAAGCUAACCAACAAGUGAAGGGAUUUAAAACUUUCUUAAUAUAUAUAUAGUUGAUUUUAGAAAGUUGUUUGGCUUGGAACCUGUAAGUAAGGUCUUAUUUGGCUUAGCAUAAGUCAUAUAACAAUAAUUCUUCAAUAAAAUCAUAACUACAUGAAAAUGAGCUGAUAAAUAAUAUUUAUCAUAUCUAGUAAAAUCACAAAAAAUGAAUAAAUUAUUUAUUAAAUUAUCAAUUUUAAUAAUUUUAAUAAAGAAUAUUUUAUAUAAGUAAUAACUUUGAUAAGGAAUGUGCAAUCGUUUUACCUCUCCGUGUAAAAAAAUUCUGUAGCGAACUUUAUCCGCACGCAAAAAUCUGAAUUUACAGGAAACCACACUCUUUGAUAAAUGAUGUGAUACGUUAAUUCAUUCUAAUAAAGUUGUAUAUCAAAAUUUAAUAAUUAUUUAAAUUAUUUUGACCUAUUUGAGAUAAUGGUAAACUACCAUACUAGUAAAGUGUAGGUGUUAUUUUGUAAUUUAGCCUAGCCAACCCAACUAAUCACUUAUUAUUCUACAGCCGUCCAAUUAACACCAAAAACACCAUACUCUGGGAUGCAAAUGGAUUCGGGUCGGUGGAGCUUCGUUUUGAUCUGUUUUGAAUAAAACGAUAAAUAAAAAUUAAAAAUUAAAUAAUAAUAAUAAUAAUAAUAAUAAUAAUAAUUUGCUUUAAAUUUGUUCAAAUUCAUUAAGAAAAUGGGGAUGGAGCCAGGAGUGGCAAUUCAAUUCGCUGUUCGCGAACUAGUUCGUGUUCAGUUCGAAAUGAGCUCGAUAUUAAAUCACUCGUUUAGUAAAUGAACCGAACACGAGUUAGGAAGCUCGAUAUCGAAUUGCUCGUUUAGUAAAUAAGUAAAACACGAGCUGAAUUUUUCGGCUCGUUUAAUAAACGAACCGAACACGAGCUGGGAUCAGUUCAUUCGCACUUGGCUCGACAACAGCUUGAAUACAUAUAUUUUAUAUUUAUAUAAUUUAUUUAUUUUAUAUUUAUAUAUAUUUAUAUAUAUAAAUAAAUAUUAUAUAUAUAAUAUAUAUUUUUUUAUUAUUUAAUUUUUAGUAAGAAAAAUAUAAAGCUGAACUCAAUUAUAAAAAAACUCAUUUAUAUGUAAAAUUUCAACUAUUAAAUUAAAGUCUAAUUGAUAAAAUUUUAUAAAUUUAUUUUUUAUAUAUAUUCAAUCUAACCCAUUAAACUUAUUUUUCGUUGGUCAGUUCGUGAGCUAGCUCAUGUCGGCCCGUUUAUUAUUGAACCGAACACGAGCUGAAUUUUUCGACUCGAUACUUUAACGAGUCAACUCGUGUUCAGCUCGUUUAUUAAACAAAUGGAACACGAGUCGGUCACAGCUCGCUCGUGUUCGGCUCGUUAGCACCUCUAGAUGGAGGGGAUGUGUAUCUUUCACAGAUCCGUUCGGACCCUCGCGAAUGGAGNAAAUAAAUAAAUAAAUAAAUAAAUAAAUAUUAAUAAAUAAAUAAAUAAACAAAACAAAAAAAAAUUAAGAACUUACUAGAAGCUUCUAGAAUCUCCAGGCCAAGUUCCCGCCGUUUCCUCCCUACUCCUCUCCCUCCUCUCUCCCUUACUCCACCAAAAUAUCUCCUCCUCCUCCUCCUCCUCCUCCUCCUCUCCCCUCCUCUCCUCCUCCGGCGAUCCCCUCACCAUCGCCUCGGCGGCGGCGGCGGCGGCGACGAGCUCCGGCGGGACGCCGUGGCCGAGGAUCUGGAAGCAUCCGAGCUCCGCCGCCGCCGACUUCAUCUUCUCCGUCGCGGAUCCGGCGCCGACUCCGGAAUCCAGAAGCCCCCGCACGUCGAUCUCCGCCGGGAUCGUCCGGGGUAGGGUUAGCUUCGGCACGCUGCGCGUGCUCCGCAAGAAUCGGGCCAUCUCGUCGUCGUCGUAGGGAUCGUCAUCGGACGGUUGAGCAUGGGCGAUCGGCGAUGGAGGGGGUGCUCGGGAUUCUUCUAGAAGCUUCGGAGGAGUGCUCGCCCAGAGAGAUUUCGCCAUGAGAGAAGGAGAUGGCGAUCACGAAGGGGGUGAAAAUAGAGAGGCAAUCUCUCUCAUUUAAAAGCUAUGGUGAUCCCCGUACGUUUGCGAUAUUGCGACUUGGUCCAUAUACUUUUUACUAAAAUCUUUAAUAGUUGUGAGUUGUGACUUGAAUUACGUUACACUUUAGUCCAAGAUAACUUUUUUUAGUUUUAUUUGGAUGCAUGAAUAUUUAUUUGUGAUAAUGUGUUUGAUUCAUUAAAGAAACAUGCAAUAAGAUUACCUAUUAACUUUAGAUAAAGAUAAUAUUCAAUAUCAGAUUUAUACUUAUUAAGACAUCCAAUAAGAUUUUUAUAUUUUGUGUCGAAAUAUGUUGGAUUGUUAUUACAUCUACUUUGUUAUAAGAACAUUUUACAAUUUUGGAUCAUUAUAAAAUUCCAAGUAUAACAGUUCUUUAGUAUAAUGUAUAUUUCUUACUUAUAAAAUGUUUAUUCUAUUUCAAAAGAAUAAUUGGGAGGCUGCGAAUGUUCACAAUAUAUAGGCCUUGUUUGAAAAGUACAGGGAUCAAUUCGCAAUAUGGUGAUAAUACAGUGACCAUCUAAAAAAAAAUUAAAAAUAAAAAGGAUAAAGUGCAGAGGAGAGGCAUGUGGUAAUGAUAGUGUGUCUUCUAACAUGAUGAUGAAUUCAACCUGGGUCACAGCUGUGGUGAGGGCUCUUUUCAUCUUUUCCCCCUUUUUAUUUUGCUUUUGUUAAUUUGAUCUAUGUGUUCAUCCUUAAUUUGGAUUAAUUAGUGGAAUUAUUAUGCAAAUAUAAGUAUGGUUUGAUCCAAAUGGUGGAACUAAAUUUGGUGAAACUUUUGUUUUAUGAAAAAACUUCAAAUAUCAUCCUUGUAGCUUCGCAUUUUUUUAUUUUAGUAUUCUGUGGUUUAAAUUGUAUUAAUUUAGUAUUUCGGGAUUUUAUUUUUCUUUUUUUAUUAUUUCCUUCGUUAAUUUUUUUCGUUAAAUCAAUAACAAAGUUAAAACUAAAAGAUACUAAAGUGAAUAUUCGAUAAAUCUAAGUGGAGUAUCUGAAGUUUUUUGUACAUAAUUUAAUAAAAUAUUUACAGGAAAGUUGACGAAAAGAAAAAAAAUGAAAUCACGGGAUACUAAAUUGAUACGUUUUAAAUAAAAAAGUACUAAAGUGAGAACAUACGAAACUCCAUGGGUGAUAUUUGAAGUUUACCCUUGUUUUAUUUGUGAAUUGAAGAAAUUUUGCGUGACAUGUGACCGUUCAAUACCAGCUUAAUUGCAUUAUUAGUUUUAGCACUUCACUAUAUUAUUUUCAUAAUAUAGUGAAGUGUUUAAAUGAAAAGUAUAAGUCAUGAUAAGUACUGAUCAUAACUUUGAAUUUUGUCUUCUUUGUGUUGGAGAUUGUUUGUUAAAUUUUUAUAUUUUUUCUAAAUUCGCAGUUCCUAUAGGGACUAUUCAUUUUACACUAAAUUAAUAAUAUAAAAAUAUCACUAUUGAAAUGUAUAAAAUCUAUUUAAAUAUUUCUAAAUUUUUAGAGAAUUCAUAACUUUCUAUUGAAAUUGUUGUUUGUUUUACAGCUUUUUAUUUCAAUUCUCAUUUCACUUUAGAAUGAAAAUAAUCUAUUUUAUUUAUACCUCAAUCUGACUUUGAAUUCCGGAUUAACCGAUUUCAAAGUAAAUUACUUAAAAACCUUCUCUUACAAACCCCUCCCUAUUUUCUUCUUCCACCACUCUUCGCUCUAUUAACCAAUAUCCUCUCUCAAAUCCUAAAAACACUUUUAGAUGAUUCGUUUAUCCAUUUUCAAUUCCAAUGCAAUUCAAUUUUUAUUUUCAAUUCCUAUUUCAUUCAUGAACUAGAUUUGUUCUUCUCUCAAACACCUCUCUCUCUUCUUCCUUCAUCACUCUUCGCGCUUUUAACUGAUAUUCUCUCUCAAAAUCCUAAAUGUCCAUUCGGAUUUCCAUUCUAAUAAUAAGUCAGAUAUUUUUAAAUGAUUCGUCAUUCCAUUUUCAAUUCCAAUGCAAUUCAAGUUUUAUUUUCACUUUCGAUUUCAAUCGUGAACUAG
rnacentral:lncRNA from 1 species